GCAGCAAAGGGUGUCCGUGUCCCGCAGUCGACAUCAUCAUCAUAAGAAGAAGAAGAAGAAAGUAGAAUGCAAAGAAAUCCUCCUCGAGUGCAUGCUUACUAGUUUUGUCUCUUCCCGUUUUAGAUUUGGUUGUCAUUUCCCAUUUGGGACCGUCCGUCUGUCCGUCUGAUCGAUGAUGACUAGCUAUGUUUACCGUUUUAUUAUUUCCGUUCCUUUCAUCAAGUUUGCAGUUCGAGUUAUGUAACCCAAAGACGUAUGCUUUGCUUCAGAAGUAUUAUUGACUAGUAGUACUAUUGCGUCUUAAAUUCCUGUUAAGCUGAGAUUUGAUUAUGUGUGCAUGUGCAUUGCAACCCGUCUCGCAUGUUAUCUUUUCCUCUGGAGAGACAAAAUUUUUUAACCUCAACUGGUCAUAAAGAAAAUGUAACAAAACGGAACGGAACGCAUCACGUGUAUGCAAGUGUCAGCGCCGCGCUAACGUAAUUUGUGCAUGCACUACCAUAACAAAAACCGCGCUUCAGCACGUGCAGAACACAUUCCUCGCGGCGACUCGAAAACCUGCACGCGGCCCAACGGCAAGCUAAAGACAUGCCCCGUCGUUCUCAAAAAAAAAAGACAUGCCCCGUCGUUCUCAAAAAAAAAAAAAGACAUGCCCCGUCUCGCACUGUCACAGUAGUGCAUCGGAUGCCCUUGUCGUCUUUUACCAUGGCCAAUGCCAUAUCCAUAUGCACCUGCAUGCAUGUGCCGGCCGGCCAGGUGCGAGAGAUGCGGUCAAAAGCAUCGCUCGUCCAGGCAAGUUUCCGGCCCUCGCGGCGGGCGGCGUCGGCACCAGGUCCAGCGGAUUGGCUACGGCAGCUCCCGGCGAGAUUCCCUCCCUCCCUCUCUUCUUCGGUUAUCUCGCCUCGCUUUAUACAUGGCCUCAGCUUUGGCUCGCCGCUUUCCUUCUUUCUUUAGGCCUCUCCUUUGGUUUCCUUGUCUCUUUGUAGUAUGCGUGUCUUUUAUCGUGGGGAGGAGGAACCAAAGGCGGCCGCCCGGCCCGGGGGUAGCUAAAGCCUUGCUGCUGCUGGUGCAGACGCUGCCUUUGGAGGCACCGUGUUCCGUUGCUUGACCUCCUUUGCAGUUGCGCGCGACGGCGAGUGACCACCACAUUGCACGGAUUUUCAAGAUGAUGGCCACACCAAAGUACGUACUAGUAGUAGUGGCUUUUGGAGGAGCGGGGUGGCAUCGUGGAGUUCACCUGAAUCCCUAACUAAACUCGAACCUACUACUGACGAUGUGUUUCCCCCCUUUCGGAUGGUUUUACUGCAUACUUGCGAGCAUUCCUGAACUUAUAGGAUUCUAAAAAGGGGAUACCGUUUCGAAAUAAGUGGCUCUCCCUCCGUCUCAAAAUAAAUGUCUCGACUUCGUACUAACUUUAGUACAAAGUUGUACUAAGGCUGAGACAUUUAUUUUGGAAUGGAGAGAGUACUACUUAUAACAAACAGUUUGGAAAACUUGCACGGAAUUAUGUUCGAAUUUGAAGAGAGAAAAAACAAUUCUGCCUCCUAUCUAUUUUUUGAAUGUUGGUAGGAGUUCUACCAAAUUCAUUGAUCAGUAAGGAGUAAAAACAGUACAGAAGGGUGCCCAAUAAAAAAUGAACAAAGCACCUAAGAAAGGGUGCUAAAAGAGGAAAAAACAAGCCAACAAAUCAGCCUGGGUCGAAGGGGAUCCUUGCUCCUGCCAUGUUCCAGAUUCUAAUUUCCUCCUUAAUUCUCCUCAACAGCGUGCUAGUAUCCAUCCGCUUGUUGUCGAACAGCCGUCUGUUUCGUUCGCACCAUAUUUCCCAAGAGAUUAGGUGCAGAAGAGACAAGGUCCCUUUCUUUUUUGCGAUCGGUGCUUUUUGCCAGCAGCUUUGCAUCCAUCCUCCAACGCUGUGCAGCUCCAUCCAGGAGAUUGGCCGCAAUGAUGGCAAGGCAGCCACAGCCGCGAUCAAGUCCCAGGCCUUCCUUGCCCACGGGCAUUCCACAAGAAGAUGGAAGGCAGUUUCCAGAUUUCUCUGACACAAAGGACAGAAAUAGUUGUUCUCCCAUCCGCGCCGCAGCAACACAUCGGCCGUCCCGUCAAAUUCUGCCUCCUAUCUAUGAUACAAAGGUAUGCCCCUGUUUGUUCUGCCUCAUAUCUAUGAUACAAAGGUAUGCCCCCGUACGUUCAAAGCAUAUUGUUAUACUCCCUUAUUUCAUAAUGUUUAAGUAUUUUUGAAAAAUCAACCCUGACAAACUUUGACCAAAUUUAUGGAGAAAAAAUAUUUACAUCUAGAAUGUCAAACAUGUAUCGUUAGAUUCAUCGUAAGAUGUAGUUUCAUAUUUUUAUAUAUUUGGUAAUGUAGAUAUAAAUAGUUUUCUUUAUAAACUUACUCAAAGUUUGGCUUUUAAAACAAAUGCAUUAUGUUAUGGAACGGAGGGAGUACUUUUUACAUAAAUCAUUCAAUACAAAUGUCUCAUAUUCCUAAAUAGCGUUGAACCUAGUAUAAAUUUUUAGCCAUGCUCUUUGGGCAUUGAAAGAUUUUCAAGUGAAACUUGCAAGGUUUUAGUUCUCUCUUCGUGUGAAAACUCAUGACCUAGCCUAUGGCUAGAUCAGGCAAUGUUGACAUACACAUGUUGUUACCUUGUUCAAGAUGUUGGUUCAAAGCCUUCUUCGAGGGUGACAGCUCUUAACAUCUGGUUGGACCAACCAAUAUCAGCAUGUGAGCGACGAUUCCUUCUUGAAGGCGUUGUCUUGGAUUGAUGUGUACUUUUGUGACGCCCUCAAUUUAAUCGUACACUAAUCAUACACGCAAAUGUGCACGAUCAAGAUCAAGGACUCACGGGAAGAUAUGACAACACAACUUUAGACACAAAUAAAAUAAUACAAGAUUUAUAUACAAGCCAGGGGCCUCGAGGGCUCGAAUACAUAAGCUCGAUCUUAAACGAGUCAGCGGAAACAACAAUAUCUGCGGAUAGACAUAAGUUAAACAAGGUGCCAUAAGAUGGCUAACACAAACAGGCAUACAGAUCGAAGCGGUGCAUGCCUCCUGCCUGGGAUCCUCCUAAACUACUCUUGGUCGUCGGCGGCCUGCACGUAGUAGUAGGCACCCUCGGUGUAGUAGGGGUCAUCGUCGGUGGCGUCUGGCUCCGGGGCUCCAGCAUCUGGUUGCGACAUCCGAGAAGAAUGGAAAAAGGGGGGAAAGAGGGAGCAAAGCAACCGUGAGUACUCAUCCAAAGUACUCGUAAGCAAGGAUCUACACUACAUAUGCAUCGGUAUCAAUGAAAUGGGUAGUAUCUAUGGAGUGAACUGCAGAAUGCCAGAAUAAGAGGGGGAUAGCUAGUCUAUCGAAGACUACGCUUCUGGCGGCCUCCAUCUUGAAGCAUAUAGAAGAGAGUAGCAAGUAUAGCCUCAACUAACAUCAUAUAGCAUAAUCCUACCCGACGAUCCUCUCCUCGUCACCUUGUGAGAGAGCGAUCACCGGGUUGUCUCUGGAACUUACCUGGGCGUGAUUGAUUAAGUAUCUGGUUCUAGUUGUCAUGAGGUCGGAAUACAACUCCAAGUCUCCUGUUACCGUGGACACGGCUCGUAUUCGUCUUCUAGGAUUCCAUAUUUAGAUUCUUCUAGGGUUGAAUUGUAUUUUUAUUGAUCAAUUAGAAUUGACUUCUAGAACGUAUAAUUGUCUAAAAAGGCAUUUCUUCGAUUUGUUCUCCUCUUCUAAGGUUAUAGCUUUCGUGCUAGCUUCAUCGAUGUUACCCACCAAAUAAAGAGCUUGUUCAGGUAGGCCGUCUAAUUCUCCGGAAAAAUCUCGUGCUGAAGAGCGUGGAGGUUCGUUUCGGUAUAUUGAAAUAUAAACAUAAAAAAGAAGAUAGAGGAUAGGCUCAUUACUUAAAAAAAAGCUUGCAAAUGGAGUCCUGAACUAGCCGCAGCUUGUGAAGUAUGGAAGGCGAUCAAAUUCGAGUUCGCUCGGGCCCCCCUGGAAGGGGGCCUUCUUUGCCUUCCUUUAAAUUGAGUAUCCGUUUCCCUCCUUUUCCCGCUAGGAUCGGAAAUCCUUUUCUAUAUGGGUUGCCCGGGACUCGAACCCGUUAAUUAUGUCUCUCCUAGAGGUUGGUUAUCAACUUCUCAUUUUAUUCUAGGAUUCUACUUUUUUUGUGGGCCAGGCAGUUAUAGAUGCCCUAACAAAACUUCGACCCAAUUUUUCCUUUUUUUUUGAUUCCUUAGAAUCUUUUUUUUCUUUCUGGCGGUAUCAAACAACCACCUAAUAUCUUAUCCGCCUCUUCAGGAAAAUGAAUAUUUUUCUGUUUUAACAAAUUCAAUAUAAAAAAACCAAACUUUUUCUUUUAUUUUCUUUUUGAAAAAAAUGGAUUUCAUUGAAGUAAUAAAACUAUUCCAAUUCGAAUAAUGAUAGUAUCUUGUACCUGAACCGGUGGCUCACCUUUUCUAAGUAAUGGGGAAGAAUUUUAAUGUAAGAAUAAAGAAUUGAAUUAAAGGGCUUGCUUUGGAACCAGGCCAAUUUGGGAGCGGCUUUGUGAUAAUGGAACCAACCAGCAAAAAGCAUUAACACUGCAAAAAUCCAAAAUAGAAUUAGUCCCGCUCAUUAUGAACCGAAAGGGGCUCGUAUUUUGCCAAGAAAUCUCUAGCCAACCUUCCCACAAGAGGUUUUUCUUAACACCUCCGAUGCGAAAGUAAUUGUGCAUCAUUCGCAUACUUGUAGCAGCUUCAAAUAGAUCAGACAUAGUUUGGAAGUUAGACCUUUUUAUAGGACUCUCUUUCAAUUUCAAAAAAGAGGACGUUUGAAACUUCGAAUCUGUUGUCAUUCUACUGCAACAGUUGUACUGCAACAGUAGUACAGUGUGAAUUUGCCAGUACAUUCAAUGUACUGACCCUUUGUGGCUGCAACGUCUCAUGUUGCAGGACUUCUUACGACGAGUAAGUGAUACGUUAGGGUUACGAUUUCUACACUCAACUUUGCCGUUGGUGUUGAUGGGAUACUUCCACUAUUUGGAUUGAGGUAAUAGUAUUUACAUUAUUUUAUACAUGUGAUUUACCUCUGUUAUAAAUCCUCGAGUACUGUGUGUGUCAGCAUACCGAUCCAGGGAUGACACUUAAGCACAGAGACUUGACCGUCUAAGGUCGGGUCGCUACAAGAUGGUAUCGGAGCACAUGUUGACUGUAGGACGUGACCCCUAGAAACUGGCAAACCCAUAGGAAGGAUUUUCUCUAAAACUUUCUUUUUCAAAAGAUCUUUUACCUCUCUUCUCUUUUGAGCUUAUUCAAAUAUUCACUUUUAGUGAGACCAUACCCCUUUUUCCCUUUUGACCACUCGAAGAUUCGGCUGACGAGACCACUCCAAGAAGUACAAGAUAUCGGACAACCACGACUGUCGUGGAAUUGUCACGGCAGAUGUCCUCAAGCUAGGACUUAGUCGUGGAGCCAUCGCCGCUAGGAAGCUUGAAGGGGUUAACGGGACAAGGAACACGAGGGUUUAUACUGGUUCGGACCCUUACGGUGAAGGUAAAAGCCUACGUCCAGUUGAGGUGGUAUUGAUUAGGGUUUCGAUGACCAGGGAGCUUAACUGCUAUGCCCGGCUCUCGAUGAGAUCUUUCUUGUCCCUAAACCGCUGCCGGGUCGUCCCUCUAUAUAGGGAGGCUGAUGCCCAGCAGCUCUCAGAGUCCCGGCCGGCUCAUAAGAGUGUCCGGCUCGGACUCUCAACUAUUCUUGCCUUACACUACAAGUUCUACCAUAAUGACGGUUGUAACUACGGGCCUUAAGCCAUAUCCGGGUCUUAAGCCCAUCUUUGGCCCACCGUCUUCAAGCUUGUCGCCGGGCUUCUGGUGAUGACCAUUAUGAGUAACCCGGCCCCUUCUGGUGGGUGACUCUAAGGUCUAUAUCCUCAACAUUAGGCCCCAGAUUGAUUUGAGCCGGCUCAUGUCAAUCUUCAAUUCUUUCGACAGAAAAUCUCCGGCUUACAAUUGUGUGAAGGCCAUAACCCGGCGUGACGUCAUCCUCUAGACUCCGGGUAAUCCGCCGUGACGUCAUCUUCCAUUAAGUCCAUUUUUUAUUCCACCAGAUCCGCAACGAAUCUUAUCUUUACUGCCAUCCCGAAAAUCGAGGCGUUUUAUGGGGAGAUAACCACGCCGUGGUCUCCUCGUUUCUCGCGCCCACUUACGAGUCUGGCCUUAUAAAUAGUCCGGCGCGAUGAGCCUUCAGCCACCCGUCUUCCUCCUCGCGCCACUGCUCCUCCGCUCGAGCUCUGUCGCCGUCGCCGCCGCGGGUCUUCUCGUCCUCACCAACUCCGGCCGCUGCAUCAACCUGUUGUGUCCAGAGAACGGCAGCGUCCUCCGCGACUCACCAGCACCUGUAAGUCCUUGCUGCCCCGUAGAACAGAUCUGCAGUAGGGUUUCUUCUUGUUCUUCCCGUGUUUCUUCACCGUUCUUCGCAGGCCCUCGGUAGAUUUGAUUUUUUACCACCCCUUUUGAUCUUAGACUUGUAUAGAACCACUGCGGUAGCUAUUUCACUUCCAUUCCUAAUGCAAAUAGAUCCCCUUUUUACUGCAUAGAUGCUUUGUUCGAACCCGCAGACUUCUUCUGCAUCUGUUUUUAGGUCUAGGAAUUUUCCUUUUCAACCGACCGUUUUGAUCCAAAUUAUUUACUGCGAUGUGUGAAACCUGUUUUCACCACACUUAGUAAAAAACUACACCUGUCGAGUCGUGGCGGUUUACGCUUCCGGCUUAAAGAAGCCACGUACUGUAAAAAUUUCUGGCUCAUUUGCAGCAAGGCUGUAGAUAAUUGAAUGGCUCUCAAUACCUCGGGCAGCUUAAAUAACCCGACGCACCUAGAUAUAUAUCAUUAGUCCCCUCCAUAAGCCGCCACUUUAACAUUGAACUGUAAAUUUCCUCCGGCUUAUAAUUAAACCGGGCAUGUUUCCUUUUAUCAUAGGCUUCCGACCUUCACCAUGCCUCCCAAAGCUCCUAAAGCAUCCAUCACUUGCAAUUGGAUGAGGUCCAAUGUCACCGACGAGACCUUAGCGGAUUUUGUAAAGUCGGGUUACCUGCCUAAGAAGGACGUCAUGUCCUACCGUGCCCCUGACCCGUCAGAGGAGAGACCACAGCCAAAGAACGGGGAGGUAGUGAUUUUUGCAGAUCACAUGAGCCGGGGCUUCGCACCGCCCGGCUCAAAGUUUUUUAGAGAUGUGCUGAACUUCUUUGAUCUGCGGCCACAAGACAUAGGACCCAAUUCUGUGUCCAAUAUAUGCAACUUCCAAGUGUUCUGUGAAGUCUACCUUGGAGAAGAGCCCAGCCUGCUGCUCUUCAGAGAGCUCUUCUAUCUGAACCGGCAGAACGAGUGCGCAAACGGGCCAAGUUUGGAACUCGGCGGAAUCUCCAUUCAGCGACGGAGAGACUGCCUCUUCCCUUACGCCGAACCGCCAAGCCACCCAAAGGACUGGAACCAGACGUGGUUCUACUGCCAAGACACGUCGCCGGCUGACGAGAGCCCGCUGCCCGGCUUUCGCCCCUCGCGUCUGGAACCAACACACCCUUUGUCAGACAAGCUAACUCAAGCGGAGCGCCAACCUCUGCUUCCCACCAUUAACAAGAUCAAGGCUCUCCUGGGCAAUGGUCUCAAUGGAAUUGACCUGGUCCGAGUCUGGAUCUCCUGGCGGGUGAUCCCAUUGAGCCGCCGCCCCGGCUUAAUGUGUGAGUACACGGGCGAAAGGAUGACCCCCUGAGACACAGCCACAACGACCUUCCUGAAGACGUUGCUGAGGACAUGACCAAAGCUCUUUUGAACGAGAGCCUGGCAGACUGCGGGAGGACCGGCUUAAGCCCCUUCUGCAAGACCAACCCGGCCCCAGCGGUAAGCCGCUGAUCUGAACAUCUUAUUUUCUUCUGUAUAUAGCUUGCAUCCGAACCUUAAGAACUCGACAUUGUAUUCUUCAGGCAGAUGACAAAUUCUGGAAGGUCAAAUACGACCAUGAGGCGGCCAAAAAAGCCAGGAAGGCGAAGAAAGCCGCCAAGAGAGCUGCUCCCCGCAAGAAGGGAAGUAGGCCUACUGCUUCAGAGCUGCUGCAACUAAGCGACAGCUCCGAGUCAGAGGUAACCCCUGAACCUGUAAGCCCUUGUUGUAUUCGUUGUUUAUUUUUGUCCACCUUAUCAAUACUGUUCAUCAACAGGAUGACACCGGAGCAAGUAACCCGGUGGUUGAAGAGGUAAUGUCACUUUCCUCCGACUCGGAGCCCUUGCCAAGGCUGAAAGUCCGAAGGGUAACCCGAAAAGUAAGAUUUUCACAUCCUUUAGCUUAUCAAGAUCCUCAAUUUCUUUUGAAGCAACAGACUCAUGAGAGCCGGCGGCACACCCGGGCCAACAAGGACGCUGACCUCUCUUCCGGCUUACCCGACGCAUCGAGGAAACGCCGAACCGAGGUUAUCUCCAACUUGUACCCUUUUCAUCCUUUGGCGGGUGUUAUACGUCAACCGCUCAAUUCUUCUGGUUCAAACUAUCAGGAAACCUCACCCUCCUCUGGUGACUCGAUGCAAUCAAGCCUGCCGGCCUUCAAGACCGUACCCGGGUAACAAUGAUCAUCUCUUUGUUGUGCUUACCUUUGCUCAUACCUUUGUACUAACCUUUUUGUCCUUUUAGUGCCCAGGCAAAGCUCACCAAGAGGGCGAAGAAGAACAAGCCGGUCGAAGAGCCGGACUUGCCUGAACCGGAGGUAGCAGCUCAAGAACCGCCAGCUGCCUCCGCUCCCGAAGCCACCGCUCCAACCGACAAGGCAACUGCAGAGGCUUCUGCUAACCCGGAGACCUCCAGCUCGGCUCAGCCGAUCAAUGACCCGGACGUGGUAAUCACCCGGACGGAGUUUGUUGAGCCGGGGAGACCUACUGCACUGGCCAAGUGCUCCGCCAAGGAGGAGUUGCUACAGCACCGCCGGGUUAAUCUGGACCUCACCGACUACGCCAAUCUGAACAUCGGAGAGAUCGUCUCCGGCUAUGUCAGCCAAGUGCACAAGAGCCGGGAUGUAGAGAUCGGCAUGGUGAACUAGAUUCAGCAGAAGUCUGAGGUACUACUCUUCUUUCUUCUUGCUUACUGCAUAGUUAUCUUGUUAUUCUUACCAUACUCUAGCCCCCAAGUCUACGACUUAUGAUAGAAUACGUUGUAGACUUAAGUUCCGGCUUACUCGCUUAAACCGGCAACUUGUAAAUAGAAAACGUUCGAUAUGCAUUAGCCCCCAAGUGCCAAGUGUCUUUGCUUGGAAAGUGCUUGGGACUUUAAAAUUGCAUAAUAACUGUUCAUCCCAUAACCCAGAAAUUAUGCAGGCUGCUUGCAAGAAGUUUGAAGCUGACAUCUCUGAUCUGAAGACCCGGCUGAGGACGCAAGAAACUGAGACCCGGAAGGCCAAUGCCAAAUUUGUGUCCAGUAUUGCUGCACAAGAAAAGCUGAAGACGGACUUUGAUGCUGAACGGAAAGCUUGGGCCGAAGAGAAGGCUACUCUGGUGAACCGGGCCGAACAGGCGGAGAAGGCUCUGACAGAGAAGACCGCCGAACUCGCCGGCUUAAAACGCCAGGUGUCCCAGAUGGUUACCGCAAUCUUCGGUAAGUCAUUCCACCGGCUUUUCGUCCAGUUUAUAAUUUUUAUGUCUCAUAACCCAUCAUUGCCGGCGGCUUAUCUUACUCUGUUACACAGGUCCCAGAAGCGCCAACCUCAACCAAAGCGUGGUGACCAAGUUGAAGGCCGUGUACACCCUGGUGGAGCAACUCUACACCGGGUCACAGCGCGCCUUGGCCGUGGUGGCCCUAUCCAAUGAGGUGCCGACUCAUCUGGUGGAAGUUCUUCGCCGGCUUGCCGUUCUUCCCCAACGUGUCCAAGAGCUGCGGCGGGCCUCUGCAAGAGCCGGAGCUAUCGCCGCUCUGAGCCGGGCCAAGGCGUUCCUUCCAGAGUUAGACCCGGCAGACAUUGCCCUCGGCUAUCCCAGUUUGAAGGAAGACGGCACACCCUUCGACCAAAGGGACUUUGCAGCCUGCGUGAAGAUCAUGCGCCCGGUGGCCACCCUCAUUGGAAACGACACAGAUCUGACCAAGUACCAGCCGGGUUACAAUGCAGAAAAUCAUAGGAUCCCCACUCCGCGUUAUGAAGCUAUCAGCUUAGUCCCACCAGCUCGUAAGCACACCUUCGCCCCGGAGAUUGACCCGGCCGGGUUAAUUGACGAGGAAGCUCAAUUUGAAGCUCUGAGCGGCAUUGACUGGAAGUCGUCAACUUUCCAGGUCUUGGGAACAGCCGGAGGAGAGGAGAGGGAUGAGCCGGAGACUUCAACCCAGCAAGCGUCGUAACUCUGUAGAUGGUUUAUGUGAAACAAUGCUUCACCCUUUUGGACUCAAUGAGUCUUGUAAUAGAAUAGGAUCAACACUUUAACUGUGCCGUGCCAUCGUGCACGUGUUGAAUGCUGAAUUCUUAUGAAAGUUGCUUCCUUAUAUGUCUCCGGGUUAUAGUUGAUCAGUCAUGCUCCUUAAGCUUAAAUAGUUGUCUUUAACUAUCCUGCAUAGAAAGACAAAUCACAAGUCUCGAGGCGGCUUACCGCACGGAGAAUCAUAGUCUUAUGCAUAUAACCCGGAAUAUGAUUCACCAAAGACUGGUCCUCAAUUAUGUCCAUGAUAUAACCGUAACAACACACUUACCAGCCUGCAAGCACACUUCCGGCUUAGAUAAUCCGGGCAAUAAGGUUGGCACCUCAAUUCCAGUUUACCAGUCUUAAUGACGCCGGUUGUAUUCGACUAGCACUAUAAAUCAAAGUUAAGCCGGCAAAGUGAGACCCGCCGUGCAUACUUGAAAUAAUCAGAAGAACUUGCUAUAAAUCAGAAAAACGUAGGGGCUUCCGGUUCGAAUACGACCAGAGACCUGUCCCAAAGGGGUUAUGCUAGGAUUCGAAUGCGAUCAUAUAGCCCCAGUGGGUGUGGCGAUGCCAAUCAAGAGGGUACCGACAGCCAUGUUCUCUUUGGUUCGAAUACGACCCAUGUUUGAACAGGAAGCCCCCAAAUGACUUUAAGAAUUGUUUAACGACGCUGAUUCGAAUACGAUCCACGUCGGUUCCCAAAGGGGGUUGAACUAUGAUUCAGAUAUGAUCAAAGAAAACUCCUCAAUGAGCUCGGCACCUUGCCAAUCAAAUGGGUAUCGACAGCUAUGUUCUCUUUGGUUCGAAUACGACCUAUGUUUGAACAGGAAGCCCUCAAGUGACCUUAUUGCCUAUGGCUAGAUUCGAAUACGAUCAUAAGCCGGAUCCUCCUUCAAGUUAUCAUGUGAUCUUGCCAUGGAAACAACACAUUCACAUUUGUAGGAGAAAAAAGGACAGAGGUCCUGCUUUAUUGCUUAUCAUAAUAUAUACACGGCUUAGAGAAAUAUGUACAUUAUGAGAGCCGGUGGCUCAAGUGUAGUAAGGUCGAAGCUGAGCUAUAUUCCACGGCCGACGGGUCUCUUCCUCCGACUUACGUGAAUCUUUGUGCUCCCGAAUGUCAAUGAGGUAAUAUGACCUGUUGUGCAAAUUCUUGCUGACCACAAAAGGCCCUUCCCAAGGCGGGGAUAGCUUGUGCGCAUAUGUUUGAUCUUGGAUGAGCCGGAGCACGAGAUCGCCUUCCUGGAAGACCCGGGAUUUAACCCGGCGACUAUGAUAACGGCGCAGGUCUUGUUGGUAAAUCGCUGAGCGAGCUGCUGCCACAUCACGCUGUUCGUCCAACAAGUCAAGAGCAUCUUGGCGCGCCUGUUCAUUAUCCGCCUCAACAUAAGCCGCCACUCGAGGCGAGUCAUGACGGAUGUCACUGGGGAGGACUGCUUCUGCCCCAUAAACCAUGAAGAAAGGCGUGAAACCUGUAGACCUGUUAGGAGUAGUGUUGAUGCUCCAUAACACGGAGGGCAACUCCUCCACCCAACAACCCGGCGUCCGUUGCAAAGGGACCAAAAGCCGGGGCUUGAUGCCCUUCAGAAUCUCCUGAUUAGCCCUCUCAGCUUGACCAUUGGAUUGAGGAUGAGCCACUGAUGAAACAUCAAGUCGGAUAUGCUCUCGUUGAAAAAAAAUCCUCCAUGGCGCCUUUGGAUAGAUUGGUACCAUUGUCAGUUAUAAUGCUGUGCGGAAAGCCAAAGCGAAAAAUCACCUUUUUCAUAAAUUGAACCGUCGUGGCUGCAUCACACUUGCUAACUGGCUCCGCUUCAACCCACUUGGUAAAUUUGUCAACUGCCACCAAGAGGUGGGUCUUCUUAUCCUUGGACCUUUUAAAAGGCCCAACCAUAUCAAGCCCCCAGACCGCAAAGGGCCAAGUAAUUGGGAUCAUCCUUAGCUCCUGAGCCGGCACAUGAGCCCGUCGCGAGAACCUUUGGCAACCAUCACAUUUACUGACCAAGUCCUCCGCAUCAGCAUGGUCCGUCAGCCAAUAAAAACCAUGACGAAAAGCCUUUGCCAUAAGAGACUUUGAGCCAGCGUGAUGGCCACAAUCCCCUUUAUGAAUCUCACGCAAGAUCUCUUGACCUUCCUCAGGGGAGACACAACGCUGGAACGCUCCCGUAACACUGCGGCGAUGCAACUCACCAUUGAUAACAAUCAUUGACUUAGACCGCCGGGUUAUUUGUUUGGCCAAAGUUUCAUCCUCAGGCAAAUCUCCCCGGGUCAUGUAAGCCAGAUAGGGCAUUGUCCAGUCCGGUAUGAUGUGGAGAGCCGCCACCAGUCGUGCCUCCGGGUCAGGGACAGCCAAGUCUUCCUCUGUAGGCAACUUAACAGAAGGGUUAUGCAGGACGUCCAGGAAAAUAUUAGGCGGCACCGGUUUUCGCUGAGAGCCCAGCCGGCUUAAAGCAUCAGCCGCCUCGUUCUUCCUGCGAUCGAUGUGCUCUACUUGGUAACCCUGAAAGUGCCCAGCAAUGGCAUCAACUUCGCGGCGAUAAGCCGCCAUGAGAGGGUCCUUGGAGUCCCACUUUCCUGAUACUUGUUGAGCCACCAAGUCUGAGUCGCCGAAGCACCUUACCCGGCUCAAGCUCAUCUCCUUAGCCAUCCGAAGACCGUGGAGCAAGGCCUCGUACUCAGCCGCGUUGUUGGUAGAAGGAAACAUCAAUUGUAGCACAUAAUGGAACUUAUCACCCUUAGGGGAAGCCAAUACGACUCCAGCCCCCGAGCCCUCCAACUGCCUGGACCCAUCAAAGUGAAUAGUCCAAUAUGUGUUAUCCGGCUUUUGUUCGCGCAUUUGUAGCUCUGUCCAAUCAUUGAUGAAAUCCACCAAAGCCUGAGAUUUAACAGCAGUGCGUGGCACAUACUUCAGACCAUGAGGCCCGAGCUCUAUAGCCCACUUAGCCACACUCCCUGUGGCCUCCCUGUUUUGAAUGAUAUCUCCAAGGGGGGCAAAACUGACCACAGUAAUGGGGUGACCCUGGAAAUAAUGCUUAAGCUUCCGGCUUGCCAUGAACACACCAUAAACAAGUUUCUGCCAAUGCGGAUACCGCUGCUUGGACUCGAUGAGUAUUUCGCUGACAUAAUAAACCGGCCUCUGAACCGGAUGCUCCUUACCCUCUUCCUUGCGCUCCACCACCACGGCCACACUGACGGCUCGGGUGUUAGCAGCCACAUACAGCAAUAAAGGCUCCUUGUCAACCGGAGCAGCAAGGACCGGGGGCUCGGCCAGCUGUCUCUUCAAAUCCUCAAAAGCAGUAUUAGCUGCAUCAUUCCAGACAAAGUCAUCAGUUUUCUUCAUCAACUAAUAUAAUGGCAUGGCCUUCUCACCCAAACGGCUUAUGAACCGGCUUAAAGCAGCGAUACGACCCGCCAAGCGCUGGACGUCGUUUAUACACGCCGGCUUAGCCAGGGAGGUGAUGGCCUUGAUCUUCUCCGGGUUAGCUUCAAUGCCUUUGUUAGAAACCAAGAAACCCAAGAGCUUGCCUGCAGGAACACCAAAAACACAUUUGGCCGGGUUAAGCAUCAUCUUGUAGACCCGGAGAUUAUCAAAGGUUUCCCUCAGAUGAUCUAUCAAGGUUUCCUCCUUCCUGGAUUUAACCACAAUAUCAUCCACAUAAGCAUGAACAUUGCGCCCAAUCUGGUUAUGAAGACAGUUCUGCACGCAACGUUGAUAAGUCGCCUGUGCACUCAUGAGUCCAAAGGGCAUAGACACAUAGCAGAAGGCUCCAAAGGGAGUGAUGAACGCCGUCUUCUCCUGGUCCUUAACUGCCAUUUUAAUCUGAUGAUAUCCAGAAUAAGCAUCCAAGAAACUUAGGCGCUCACAACCCGCCGUAGCAUCAAUAAUUUGAUCAAUACGGGGAAGGGCAAAAGGAUCAGCCGGACAUGCCUUGUUCAAGUCCGUGUAGUCCACACACAUCCGCCAGGUGCCGUUCUUCUUGAGUACGAGCACCGGGUUAGCUAACCAUUCUGGGUGAAAGACUUCAACGAUAAACCCGGCCGCCAAGAGCCGGGCCACCUCUUCACCAAUAGCUUUCCGCCUCUCUUCAUUAAACCGCCGGAGGAACUGCCUGACCGGCUUAAAUUUUGGAUCAACAUUGAGAGUGUGCUUCAGCGAGUUCUCUAGGUACACCUGGCAUGUCAGAUGGCUUCCAUGCAAAAAUGUCCUUAUUCUCACGGAUGAACUCGAUGAGCGCGCUUUCCUAUUUUGGAUCCAGAUUGGCACUGAUGCUAAACUGCUGAGAUCAAUCUCCUGGAACAAAAUCAACAAGUUUAGUCUCAUCAGCCGACUUAAAUUUCAUUGCCGGCUCAUGCUCCGUAGUCGGCUUUUUCAGAGAGGUCAUAUCUGUUGGGUCAACGUUGUCUUUCUAAAACUUCAACUCUUCUGUUGCACAAACAGAUUCUGCGUAAGCUGCAUCGCCUUCCUCACACUCCAGGGCCACCUUCCGGCUGUCGUGAACCGUAAUGGUCCCAUUAUGACCCGGCAUCUUGAGCUGUAAAUACACGUAACACGGCCGUGCCAUGAACUUGGCGUAAGCCGGCCGCCCAAAUAUGGCAUGGUACGGACUUCUUAUCUUGACCACCUCAAAGGUCAAUUUUUCCACCCUGUAGUUGUGCUCAUCUCCAAAGGCCACUUCCAACUCGAUCUUGCCGACUGGAUAAGCCGACUUACCAGGUACCACACCAUGGAAAAUAGUGUUUGACUGGCUGAGGUUCUUAUCAAUCAACCCCAUACGACGGAACGUCUCAUAAUAGAGGAUGUUGAUGCUGCUGCCUCGAUCCAUGAGCACCUUAGUGAACUUAUAUCCUCCCACCUGAGGAGCCACCACCAAGGCCAAGUGACCCGGAUUAUCCACCCGGGGAGGGUGAUCCUCCCUACUCCACACUAUAGGCUGCUCAGACCACCGCAAGUAGCGUGGAACUGCCGGCUCAACAGCAUUCACAGCCCUCUUAUGAAGCUUCUGAUCUCGCUUACACAGACUGGUGGUAAACACAUGAUACUGUCCACCGCUAAGCUGCUUUGGGUUGGUCUGAUAACCCCCCUGCUGCUGUUGAUGACCCUGGCCAGACUGCUGAUUAAAGCCCCCUUGACCGUUUUGAGGAUUAGAAUUCGAGCCGCCGCCCGGGCCAUGAAAGCCGCCGGCGCCUGAGCCACCGCCCGGGCCGUUGUUGCCAUUAAAGGCGUUGGAAUUCUUAAAGGCCUUCAUGAUUGCACAAUCCUUCCAUAGAUGAGUAGCUGGCUUCUCUCUAGAGCCAUGCCUUGGACAAGGCUCAUUCAAUAGCUGCUCCAGCGUCGGGCCUGACCCGCCGGCUCAGGGAGGGGGCCUCCCCUUGCGUCGCUGGUUAUUACCCUGUGAGCUGGCGUUGGCUACGAACUCUAGGCUGCCAUCGGCCUUUCGCUUGCCACCUCCUUGGUUCCCCGGGUUAUGCUGAGGACCCUUGCCAUUGCCGUUCUUCUUUCCCUUCCCUGUCCUUUCAUCAUCUGAAGCGGGGUCCUUGGUACCAUCAGAAUCGGCGUAUUUGACGAGAGCCGCCAUCAGUGUACCCAUAUCAUUGCAGUCGCGCUUAAGCCGCCCGAGUUUCAUCUUCAAGGGCACGAAACGACAAUUCUGUUCCAACAUUAAGACUGCAGAGCCGGCAUCCAUCUUAUCAGAGGAAUGUAUUAUCUCCUUAACCCGGCGAACCCAAUGUGUCGUAGACUCACCCUCUUGCUGCUUACAGUUAGUCAAAUCCACAAUUGACAUAGACUGCCUACAGGUAUCCUUGAAGUUUUGGAUGAACCGGGCUUUCAGCUCAGCCCAAGACCCGAUGGAAUUCGGUGGUAGCCCUUUCAACCAAGUGCGGGCAGUCCCAUCUAACAUCAUGGUGAAGUACUUGGCCAUUGCCGCUUCACUGACCUCCAGCAGUUCCAUGGCCAUCUCGUAACUUUCGAUCCAGGCUGCAGGUUGUAAGUUAGCCGUGUAAUUAGGCACCUUCCUAGGGCCUUUGAAGUCCUUUGGUAGACGUUCUUGCGGAGAGCUGGCACUAAACAAGGGACACCUCCGGUCCUGGUAGGGAUACCCACGUCGACGGAAGUCGUCGGAUAAGCCGGGGGAGUCUGGUAAGCCGUCAACUGAGGCACCUGCUCCGCCUCUUGCCGCGCUCUGUCUUGGUCUGCUGCGUGAAAGGCUCCGUUAUGAGCCGGGCCAUGGCCAAGGGGCGGGUCAUGGCGUCGGACGUUACUUGAGCCGGUCGCUGAGACCAUGUGUCUGCUGUAACUCGGGCUCCGGCCUGGACGAGGGGUCGAGUGGAUCCUGUCCCGGCUGUAGGAGUACGCCUCUUGCUGCGCCAGUGCUGUCUGAAGGAGUUCCCUGACCCGGCGGGUUUCAACAGCCGUCGGAGAGUCGCCAUCAGUUGGGAGUGCCGCCAGCCGCGCUGCAGCGGCUACCAUGUUCUCCAGCGGGUUAGCAUAAUGACCCGGUGGUAUUGGCACAUACUGAGGCGGGGCAGGGCUCACCCGGGGAGGCCCCAUUACUUGUGGCUGAACAGGGUUCCCAGACCCGGGCACUAUGAUCCCUGGCGGGUUACUAGACCCUGCACCUGGCGUGCUGAAGAGGUUUCGGGGAUCGUAAACCGGAGGGAGUCGAGAUUGGGCCUUUUGAUGCCUCCUUCUCAUGACCUCAUUGGACGCGUUCUGAUCCAUCGUGAGCCGGAAGGACUGCGCCUGGAUCAACUGAGUUUGGGCGUCGAGAGCCGCCCUCUCCGCAGCCAUCCUGAUCCCUUCCGCUGCCAGAUCCUCCUUAGCUUUCACUAGAUCUAACUUUAACUGCGCCACCUCCACAUCAUGCUGAGCUUGAUCCGCCGGGUCAACCGCGGCGGUCAACAGGGCCGUCAUCUUGUCCGUCAGAUCCAUCAGCACCUGAGCCGGCGAGGGCACCGGGUUUCCUGCUCCAGCAGCAGGGUUCUGAACAGGCUGCGCACCGGCCAUGAAGAUUCCAACCCGGCUUGGCGGCUCAAACGGGUCCGGAAUACUGUCACCAUCGGAACAACCCAUGAGCCUGCCAUCUUGAAGCUGAUACAACGAGUUUCAUUCAUCGGUGGACGACUCGCCGUCAGAGCCGGCGGCCGUCUCAUCACCAGAUCCAGAUCUAUCAGAGAGCCCUCCAUGGAUACAUCCCACAAAAGCAUGCUUUAAGGCAGGCAGGGCCCGGGCGGGUCGUGCACGCUGAGCCGUCUUGAUGAGAUCGGCGCAGAGAUCCGGCUCAGGGCCCGGCUCACCAAUCUUGCCAAUGAAAACAUGAAUUCCGCCGAAGGGGACCCGGUACCCGUACUCAAUUGAGCCGGCGUCGGGGCCCCAGUUUGCAUCGUCGAUGUAGAGCUUGCCGCGACGACUCUUGGUCAUCCGGCCCACAGCGUAUCCCUUGAGCCCUUCGAAGCUGCCCUUCAAGAACUCAAAUCCACCGUGGGCUGGCCCCACGGUGGGCGCCAACUAUCGUGGAAUUGUCACGGCAGAUGUCCUCAAGCUAGGACUUAGUCGUGGAGCCAUCGCCGCUAGGAAGCUUGAAGGGGUUAACGGGACAAGGAACACGAGGGUUUAUACUGGUUCGGCCCCUUACGGUGAAGGUAAAAGCCUACGUCCGGUUGAGGUGGUAUUGAUUAGGGUUUCGAUGACCAGGGAGCUUAACUGUUAUGCCCGGCUCUCGAUGAGAUCUUUCUUGUCCCUAAACCGCUGCCGGGUCGUCCCUUUAUAUAGGGAGGCUGACGCCCAGUAGCUCUCAGAGUCCCGGCCGGCUCAUAAGAGUGUCCGGCUCGGACUCUCAACUAUUCUUGCCUUACACUACAAGUUCUACCAUAAUGACGGUUGUAACUACGGGCCUUAAGCCAUAUCCGGGUCUUAAGCCCAUCUUUGGCCCACCGUCUUCAAGCUUGUCGCCGGGCUUCUGGCGAUGACCAUUAUGAGUAACCCGACCCCUUCUGGCGGGUGACUCUAAGGUCUAUAUCCUCAACAACGACCAUUACGGAAUGAAGGAGAUUUUACCGUGCAUCUGAAUAAUGGAAACUACAACAGUUGAAGACUCCGAAGACUAGGAGAAUUUGAAGGCUCUGAAGAAUUCCCAGAUUUUUUAUGACCUAGUAAGGCUACCCUUAUGGAACUUGGCAGACUAUGGAAGUUGUCAAUACCCGAGAUCAAGGUGUAUCGGAGAAAGACCGGAGCAUGGAGAGUUAAAAAAACUCAAAGUUCUGUCAAGGAAAACCCUAAGGCAGGAGAUAUCAACUAUGGAGAGAUAGCUCAUGGAAAUGACAAGAGCAGAAACACGGCUAUCCAUGAUGUUAUCGCCUGCUUAUGCUAUUGUCACCGUGCUGAGUUAAGCAUGCAUAUGCAUGGAAGGAUUGGAUGGUAGAAGGCUGAUGGAGCACCUAUCAGCAAGAUGAAGUUUUAACCUUAGCCGGUGUAUCACCAGGAUCUGGAGUGUUACAUCAAGAAGUUAAGAUGGAGCUACAAGAAGCCGUAUUUGAAAGGAAGCAUUUCAUGAAGAACUCAGGACCUAGAAGCUGAAAGUAGCCAAGCUGGAGGAGCAAAAUUUCGAGAUACCGGAGAUUCGUCAGGAACCGAAGGACAGUAGGACCAUGGUUCAUGCCAAGGAUGUUGAAACCCGGAAGUUUGGAACGCAACUCCAAAAUAUUGAAGGACGUCACGAGAGAAUUCUCGUCAACAGAGAUGAUAUGGCAAAAGAGCUUGAGAAGGACAAGCACGAUCGGAAGAAGCCAUCGGAGACAUGAACAAGAAUCGAAGAGUUUGGCGACUUUGAAGAUUUAUUGACCUUUAGAAGACCAAACCCCUGUUAUACACUUAUGUUAGAUGCGACGUUUGUGAGCUGUCAUUUGUUUGAUGUUUUUCCGACAGCCACAAAAUAAAACCUGUCUUUUCAAAACUAUUGUUUGUAUUGUGUGUAUCUCUCUCUAUCUCUCUUAUCCCACCCCAAACCCAUGGACCCAAUAGAGGACAAAUAGAGAUGAGCUUAUAUUUUGUGGACCGAUGAGUCAAUUGGAGACGGACCAAUGGAUUCAGAACAUGGAGGAUCACAUGAAGAAUAACCCUAUAGCCGGAAAAGAUAUGGCCCAGCAUGCUCUUCAGUGUUUUGAAAGAGGUGCUGCUACUUGGUGGAGGAUGUACCAAACCAUCAACGGAUGGAAAGGAGUAACCACUUGGAAAGAAUUUAAGUUGACUUUGCCAAAGUCUUGGCUUGUGUCCCAGAAAUUGAGGCCUUAUGGAAAGGAUAUGAAGAAACCUUGUGCAUACAAGCUUUGUGGAGAAAUAGGACACAACCAUAAAUAAAACAAGGACGAAUACCCUCAUAAGCGGAGGAUUGCCAAAGGAGUGAGCCGAGGAUCUCAGGGAACUUCGGUUGGAGAUUGUUCCCAAGGGUUUUGUUGCAGCAAUGGAAGUUCAGUCUACAUUGUUGGGAAAGAUCCGUGAAGCUCAGAAGAAUGACAAAGAGAUUGCUGAGGUAAAAGAGAGGAUGAGCAAAGGAAAGGCCAAAGGUUUUCGUAAGGAUGAGCACGACACCUUAUGGUUCGAGGACCGUGUAUAUGUGCCCAAUAAUGCAAUGAUCAGGAAGUUAAUACUUCAGGAGGCUCAUGACUCACCAUACUCGAUUCGCCCUGGAAACACCAAGAUGUAUUUGGAUUUGAAGGAGCGUUUCUGGUGGACUGUAUGAAGAAGGAUAUUGCGGAGUAUGUAGUCAUAGGUUAUGUAUGCCAGAGAGUAAAGGCAGAGUAUCAGAAGCCAGCCGGAUUACUACAGCCUAUGCCGAUACCCGAAUGGAAGUAGGAUAAGCUUGGUAUGGAUUCCAUUACCGGAUUUCCCAGAACCCGAUCGGGAUAUGAUUCUAUCUGGGUAGUAGUUGAUUCGCUUGACCAAAGUGGCUCACUUUAUCCCAGUGAAAACCACCUAUACAAGUGCGAAGUUGGCCAAGAUAUAUAUGACCAGGACCGUAUGUCUGCAUGGAGUUCCGAGGACCAUCGUAUCAGAUAGAGGAACACAGUUUACCUCAAAGUUUUGGAAUUAGCUGCACCAGGCUUUGGGUACUAGGCUAGAGUUCAGUAUAGCCUUCCAUCCGCAGACAGAUGGAUAGACCGAGAGAGUCAAUCAGAUUCUGGAGGACAUGUUGAGAGCGUGUGCGCUAGAUUAUGGAUCUAGUAGGGAUGAUAAUCUACCUUACGCAGAGUUCUCAUACAACAACAGUUACCAAGCCAGUUUGAAGAUGGCCCCUUUUGAAGCUUUGUAUGGGAGAAGGAGCCAGACACCGUUGAUGUGGGAUGAAGUUGGAGACGGUCAGUUGUUUGGACCAAAUGUGAUCAAGGAGUCAGAAGAGAAUGUUAAGUUGAUUCGAGAUAGACUGAAGGUAGCUCAGUCCAGGCAGAAGAGUUAUGCAGACUGAAAAACGCAAGGAGGUAGUCUAUGAAAUUGGAGACAGAGCAUAUCUUCGUGUGUCCCCUCUGCGAGGAGUUAAACGAUUUGGAGUUAAGGGAAAGUUAGCCCCGAGAUUUGUAAUACCAUACCGAGUUUUGGAGCGUAUGGGAGAAGUGGCCAACAAGUUGGAGUCACCCGAAGGACUGUCAGGAGUUCAUGAUGUGUUUCACGUUUCCCAGUUGAAGAAGUGCCAUGCAUAGAUGGCCAAUAUUCCCCUAUAAGGACGCUUGACCCUGGAAAGGAUAAUGAUGUUCCACGAAGUGGAGUAUGGACUUCAUAAGUAUAAGUUUUUAUCUCGGUAGGUGGGAUAUCCCACGAGGAUGAAGAGAUGAAUUACUAUUGGAUAUAAAGGAGGUAUGAUGUUGGAAAUAUGGAUCAAUGGAAAUUCCAUGAUGAGUCUGAGUAAUCAUGUCCUAGUUUGGUUCCAAUAGAAGGAAGGAAGACAGUACAAUUGGAUGGAUUUAAGAAUACUAGGAAGUCGGAAGUUGGAAUAAUGAUCAGUUGCGCGAGGAUAAGUUCAAGGACUACAAGUGAUGAGAUGGUCCAUAACCCACAGGCCCCAGGACCUGCCAAGAAGCAAGCACAUUCUUGCUGAAGGAAAAACCCUGGAAGAAGUUACGAUUUUAUCGACAGACGAUCUUAUAGGAGUUACGCAAAACCUGAGGGUUGGGAUGGAACGAUAGAUGUUUGUUUGGCUUGCAGAAUCCAUGGAUUUAUCCGAACUUGGUUUGUCGACAAGAGAAAUUCUGCAAUGCUUGUGAGGAUGACCGAGUGUUAGAAUACGAGAUUCGCUAAACCAUAUACAAGGUAAUGAUUUGGGUGCGGGAUGGAUUGAUCACCAUACCGACUUACUCUUAUUGUUCGCCUUGCUAUAUGGGAUGGUAAAUCUGAGUGACUUACCUAUAGUAGAGAGACGAUGAUAUUAAACCUUGUUUAAACCUUAGAAUGCUAUAAGUAUUUUUCCCUUGUACAAGGCAGCUGUGCCAAUCGUAGGAUAUACGAUGAGGUUCAGCGAGACCCAUUUUCCUGCAGGAGAAACCAUAAAUUGUUGACCACCAUGAGAUGUCGAUAGUUGUUUAGUAUGGGUGUCAGACUCGUCAUCUCAGAAGACCCAGUCUUGGAAUAACCUUACCAAGAAGAAAGGAUACAGAAGAAUUGAGGAAAAGGUUAUGCCGCUACCAGAAGGGCCAGAGAAGGAAUUUUCCCGAGAAUCUGAGAAGACCGACCCCGUCAACAAAAAGGAUGGAGUAUAUAAGUUUUGAUAGAACUGUAACCAUGUUUCUAAGGGUGGUAGCACCCCAGACCCCCCUGUGAUGAUCGAUGGAUUUUGAGAAGACCCCAAACCUAACCUAUUCCUUGCUAGCCUCUCCGAAUCUCGAGGACGAGAUUCAUUUUAAGGGUGGUAGGUUUGUAACAUCCCAAAAUUCUAAAUUUUGAAAUGUUAUAAUAAACAGAUAGAUUGGAUUGAUUGUUUGAUUGAUUGACUGAAAGUGAGUGAAUUCAAAAUCUUUUGAAAGUUAAAUGAGAGGGAAUAAAAGGACUUUCCCAAACUUUCAUUUUUCUUUUAUGAUCUCCAUGAAUUCAAAUUCUUUUCAUCAUAAAACCCUGGAGAGAAGAUGACAUGACUUCUUCCAUUUAUUUAAAUGAAAAGGGGUGUUGAAAAUAUUUGAAUACCAUUUGAAAAUAUUUCCAAUUCAGAAACUUCAAGCAACUCAAUGAUUUUCAUGAGAAAAGAUAAAAUGACUUCUUCAAAACAUAUGAAAUAUGAGUUGGAAGUUUAAAAGGAUCUAAUUUAAAGUCCUUUUGGAAAUUAUUUUCAAUUUGGAGUAUUUGGGUUUUAUUAAAAUUAUUUUUCUCCAAAAUAAAAAUAUAUGGAAAAUAGGGUAACAUGAUUCCCUACAAUAGAAAAUUGGAGAAAAUUAAUUUGAAAUCAUUUUGGUAUUUUUAAAAUGAUUUUAUGAGGUUUUAUUGCAGCAGUAGCACUCUUUGCUUUAUUUUAAUUUUUGUAUAUUUUAUUUGACGCUAGAAUAAUGUUCAUGUUGUAGAAAAUAUUUUUCUGAAAAUUUUGAUAUAUAAUAUGCCUAUAUAAAUAAUUUAUUUUAUUUUUUCUUUAUUUGGUUUUCCUUCUGUUUCUAUUUAAAAACAAAUAACAAAAACUGUACAUGUGGCCCAUCACUAACUGCCGCCCAGGUGCACAUCAUAGUACUAGCGGGCGCCCCAUCUUUUUUUUUCUUUUCCUAUAUGGGUCAGGCCCAGCCAGCGUUUUCAUUCUUUUUCUUCGGCCGAAUUUUGUUUUAAAAAAAUGCAGCUGCGCGGCCGGUCGAACCGCCUUACGCGUUUAGGCCCAUGCGACGCGCCUUCUCUAUUUCGUUUUCUUUCAUCUACGUACAUAUAUGUUUAGUCCCACAUUGCCUAGCCUUUGACCCCUAAACCUCUUUUCCAUCUAUAAAUAUAGACCCAUAGAGCCUCCAAAAAUCAUCCGAUUCGGGUUAAAUCAAUAUUUUGGUUUGACUAGACUCCUUAAAAAAAUAUUUUUUCCUCUCCCACGCGACUUUUGGGAAUUGUCUCCUCUUUCCGAAGUCAUCUUUUCUCUGCCUUAUAAAGGUAUCUUUCUUUUUUUUUCUUUUUAUACUCCCGUAGUUUAUUAUUUCUAGACUAAUACGAUAAAAUAAUUAGAUUAUCAAUUAGUCUACGUAUUUAUACAUUAGACCUUAGUCGUAGCUAUUUUUUUCUCUCCGUAAAACAGCUUGGGCCUGAUUUUUCGAAUAGCCAUAACUUUUCACUCGUUUAUCCAAAUUAGAUGAAACCAGCGCUUAUAGCUUCGUCUUGUUUUCACCUAUCCAGUGAACCUGUCACAUCAACUUUUUGAAAUUUUCAAAUUUCGAAAUUUGUUCAGAUUCAUAUUCAAACUUCGUUUGAUCGUAACUUGAGUUUCGUAGCUCCGUUGGAGUUGAUUCUUUUUGCAAACCGAAGCUCUUGACUUAAACUUUCUGAUAAGGCUAAAUUCACAUAAUUUUGGUACUUUUAGAAAUUGUUUUAUGUUGCAAGAGUUAUUUUCUUGGUUUGAUGUUUUCCGAAGUGUCUUCUUUGUUCUUUCCGAUCUUUUGAGUGAUUGCUUAUGUGUGGUUACUAUUGCUUGCUUACGAUAGAUUGACCGGAGUGUGACGAGUAGAACUAUCAAGAGUUUUGAGUGCGAAUCAUCUUCAUCAACAUUGCAGGCAAGUUCACACUUUGAUCAUAUCCCUUUUACUACCCAGUUUUUAUGCAUUAGUUUCACCCUCAAACAUUACAUGAGUAGGAUUGAUAACAUGUGGGUAUUGAAAAGUAGUUGAUGAGGUAGGAACCUAUUGCCCUACAUUCAAACCUUGGGAGUUACUAUUACUUUAUGCUUAUAUUGCCAUGCUAUGCUCGUAGACGUGGAUUGGGUUUGAGUGUAUUCAUGACAGAUGUGAGUAUUGUUAAUUAAUGGUUCAACUUAAGGUGGCAACUUUAAUACACAUCUGGGUGGAUUGAGGCACCUGGGGAAUUCCAGUGAUUGCCUGUAUUUUUGGAAAUCCUGGGGUACCGUGUGAUUCUCCUAUGGACUGCCACCCAGGCUCAAAGGAUCAUAAGAUUAUUCAUGCUAGAAACUUCCGUGUGGAGCCACAAGCUAUUAUGGGCUCUAGCAUAGUUGAUUAAGUUGUGUGAACUGUUACAGUGGUAGACUAGCAGAUGUAGGGGAUGUAGGUGUACCGGUCUACCCAUCGUAAGGUGCUAACGCUUCUGAAAGACUGUGUCUCGGUCAUCCGUUUCUCAAACAUUUUGUAGUGCGAGAAAUCCAAUGGAGGAGAUCGAGUCUUGUGGGGAAAAGUGCACAAACCUCUGCAGAGUGUACAAACUAAUCAUGGUUAGCCGUGUCCCCGGUUAUGGACAUCUUGAGUAUCUGGUUCUUGGAUUAUCAUAUUGAUCUCAUCACGUUACUUAAAUAAUUUGUUGGGUUGUUAACUUUUUAAUUGGGAUUGAGAGGGGGUUUACCUUCUCAGUGUUUUCAACAAACUUUGUAUUUAAAUAAAAUAUAUUCCUUUGCAGUAGGGAAAAAUUGGCUUUUCGCAAAAACAUUAUAACCAUAGAGCUUUUCCACCAGCCAUAUAUGCAUGUAGUGAUAGCCAUUAUUCAUCAUUGCUCUACAGUGUGAAUUUGCCAGUACAUUCAAUGUACUGACCCUUUGUGGCUGCAACGUCUCAUGUUGCAGGACUUCUUACGACGAGUAAGUGAUACGUUAGGGUUACGAUUUCUACACUCAACUUUGCCGUUGGUGUUGAUGGGAUACUUCCGCUAUUUGGAUUGAGGUAAUAGUAUUUACAUUAUUUUAUACAUGUGAUUUACCUCUGUUAUAAAUCCUCGAGUACUGUGUGUGUCAGCAUACCGAUCCGGGGAUGACACUUAAGCACAGAGACUUGACCGUCUGAGGUCGGGUCGCUACACAACUAGGGCUGUCUAUAUCUUCCAUGCUAGGUGGGUUAUUCUCACGAGGAGUGGACUCCGCUCCUCACUCACGAGAAAAUGGCCGGUAACCGGGAUGCCCAGUCCCAUGCUCAAACCAAAUCAAAAUAAUUGUAAACAAAACUCCCCCAGGACUAUUGUUAGUUGGAGGCACCCGUUGUUUCGCGCAAGCCAUGGAUUGAUGCUUGUUGGUGGUGGGGGAGUAUAAACUUUACCAUUCUAUUUGGGAACCGUCUAUAAUGUGUGUGGCAUGGAAGAUAUCGAGAUCUCUCGGUUGUUAUGUUGACAAUGAAAGUAUGCCACUCAAAAUAUUAUUUAUCUCUAUUUCAAAAAUCGAACUCUGGCACCUCUACAAAUCCCUGCUUCCCUCUGCGAAGGGCCUAUCUAUUUACUUUUAUGUUGAGUCAUCAUCCUCUUAUUAAAAAGCACCAGUUGGAGAGCACUGCUGUCAUUUGCAUACAUUACUAUUAGUUUACAUUGAGUAUGACUGGAUCUCUUUUACCAUGAAUUACAAUGUCUAGUCAGUCCUUGAUCUUCCGAGGUGCUCUGCAUUUUAUGUUUUGUGGUCUCAGAAAGGGCUAGCGAGAUACCAUCUUGUUAUAUCAUAUUAUGAUUGUUUUGAGAAAGUGUUGUCAUCCGAGAUUUAUUAUUGUUGCUCGCUAGUUGAUUAGGCCAUUGAUAUGAGUAAACAUGAGACCUAAUGUUAUUGUGAAUAUGGUUAGUUCAUAAUCUUUGCUGAAAACUUGAAUGCUGGCUUUACAUAUUUCAACAACAAGAGCAAACAGAGUUUGUAAAAGUACUUCUUUAUCACUUUCAGUUUGUCAACUGAAUUGCUUGAGGACAAGCAGGUUUAAGCUUGGGGGAGUUGAUACGUCUCCAACGUAUCUACUUUUCCAAACACAUUUGCCCAUGUUUUGGACCCUAACUUGCAUGAUUUGAAUGGAACUAACCCGGACUGACGCUGUUUUCAGCAGAACUGUCAUGGUGUUAUUUUUGUGCAGAAAUAAAAGUUCUCGGAAUGACCUGAAACUUCACAGAGAAUAUUUUUGGAAUUUAUAAAAAAUACUGGCGAAAGAAUCAACACCAGGGGGCCCACACCCUAUCCACGAGGGUGGAGGGCGCGCCCACCCCCCUGGGGCGCGCCCCCCGCCUCGUGGGCCCCCUGAGGCUCCACCGGCGUCAACUCCAACUCUAUAUAUUCACGUUUGGGGAGAAAAAAACCAGAGAGAAGGAUUCAUCACGUUUUACGAUACGGAGCCGCCGCCAAGCCCUAAUCUCUCUCGGGAGGGCUGAUCUGGAGUCCGUUCGGGGCUCCGGAGAGGGGAAUCUGUCGAUGUCGUCAUCAUCAACCUUCCUCCAUCACCAAUUUCAUGAUGCUCACUGCUCUGCGUGAGUAAUUCCAUCGUAGGCUUGCUGGACGGUGAUGGGUUGGAUGAGAUUUAUCAUGUAAUCGAGUUGGUUUUGUUAGGGUUUGAUCCCUAGUAUCCAUUAUGUUCUGAGAUUGAUGUUGCUAUGACUUUGCUAUGCUUAAUGCUUGUUACUAGGGCCCGAGUGCCAUGAUUUCAGAUCUGAACCUAUUAUGUUUUCAUGAAUAUAUGUGAGUUCUUGAUCCUAUCUUGCAAGUCAUUAGUCACCUACUAUGUGUUAUGAUCCGGUAACCCUCAAGUGACAAUAAUCGGGACCACUCCCGGUGAUGACCGUAGUUUGAGGAGUUCAUGUAUUCACUAAGUGUUAAUGCUUUGGUCCGGUACUCUAUUAAAAGGAGGCCUUAAUAUCCCUUAGUUUCCAAUAGGACCCCGCUGGCACGGGAGGGUAGGACAAAAGAUGUCAUGCAAGUUCUUUUCCAUAAGCACGUAUGACUAUAUUCAGAAUACAUGCCUACAUUACAUUGAUGAACUGGAGCUAGUUAUGUGUCACCCUAUCUUAUAACUGUUGCAUGAGGAAUCGCAUCCGACAUAUUUAUCCAUCACUGAUCCAUUGCCUACGAGCUUUUCACAUAUUGAUCUUUGCUUAGUUACUUUUCCCUUGCCACUGUAACAAUUACUACAAAACUGCUACUGUUACUUCUGCCACAGUUACCGUUACUUCCAUACUACUUUGCUACUAAAUACUUUGCUGCAGAUAUUAAGUCUUCCAGGUGUGGUUGAAUUGACAACUCAACUGCUAAUACUUGAGAAUAUUCUUUGGCUCCCCUUGUGUCGAAUCAAUAAAUUUGGGUUGAAUACUCUACCCUCGAAAACUGUUGCGAUCCCCUAUACUUGUGGGUUAUCAGGGCGCGGCCUCCCUUGAGGCCCUCCUCUCCUUUCCACUAAGGCCCAUGAAGGCCCAUGAACUUCCCAGGGGGGUUCCGGUAAUCCCCGGUACUCCGAAACUCAUCCGAAACAACCCGAAACAUUCCUCCGAAUGCAACCUUCCAAUAUAUGAAUCUUUAUGUCUCGACCAUUUCGAGACUCCUCGUCAUGUCCGUGAUCUCAUCCGGGACUCCGAACAAACUUCGGUCAUCAAAUCACAUAACUCAUAAUACAAAUCGUCAUCGAACGUUAAGCGUGCGGACCCUACGGGUUCGAGAACUAUAUAUACAUGACCGAGACACAUCUCAGGUCAAUAAUCAAUAGCGGAACCUGGAUGCUCAUAUUGGCUCCUACAUAUUACGAAGAUCUUUAUCGGUCAAACCGCAUAACAACAUACGUUAUUCCCUUUGUCAUCAGUAUGGUACUUGCCCGAGAUUCGAUCGUCGGUAUCAUCAUACCUAGUUCAAUCUCGUUACCGGCAAGUCCCUUUACUCGUUCCGUAAUGCAUCAUCCCGCAACUAACUCAUUAGUCACAUUGCUUGCAAGGCUUACAGUGAUGAGCAUUACCUAGAGGGCCCAGAGAUACCUCUCCGAAACAUGGAGUGACAAAUCCUAAUCUCGAUCUAUGCCAACUCAACAAGCACCAUCGGAGACACCUGUAGAGCAUCUUUAUAAUCACCCAUUUAUGUUGUGACGUUUGAUAGCACACAAGGUGUUCCUCCGGUAUUCGGGAGUUGCAUAAUCUCAUAGUCAGAGGAACAUAUAUAAGUCAUGAUGAAAGCAAUAGCAAUAAAACUUAAAUGAUCAUUAAUGCUAAGUUAACGGAUGGGUCUUGUCCAUCACAUCAUUCUCUAAUGAUGUGAUCCCGUUCAUCAAAUGACAACACAUGUCUAUGGUCAGGAAACUUAACCAUCUUUGAUUAACGAGCUAGUCUAGUAGAGGCAUACUAGGGACACUCUGUUUGUCUAUGUAUUCACACAUGUACUAAGUUUCCGGUUAAUACAAUUCUAGCAUGAAUAAUAAACAUUUAUCAUGAUAUAAGGAAAUAUAAAUAACAACUUUAUUAUUGCCUCUAGGUCAUAUUUCCUUCAGUCUCCCACUUGCACUAGAGUCAAUAAUCUAGAUUACAUAGUAAUGAUUCUAACACCCAUGGAGUCCUUGUGCUGAUCAUGUUUUGCUCGUGGAAGAGGCUUAGUCAACGGGUCUGCAACAUUCAGAUCCGUAUGUAUUUUGCAAACUUCUAUGUCUCCCUCCUUGACUAGAUCACGGAUGGAAUUGAAGCAUCUCUUGAUGUGCUUGGUUCUCUUGUGAAAUCUGGAUUCCUUUGCCAAGGCUAUUGCUCCAGUAUUGUCACAAAAGAUUUUUAUUGGACCCGCUGCACUAGGUAUUACACCUUGAUCGAAUAUGAACUCCUUCAUCCAGACUCCUUCAUUUGCUGCUUCCGAAGCAGCUAUGUACUCCACUUCACACGUAGAUCCCGCCACGACGCUCUGUUUGGAACUACACCAACUGACAGCUCCACCAUUCAAUAUAAAUAUGUAUCCGGUUUGUGAUUUAGAGUCAUCCGGAUCAGAGUCAAAGCUUGCAUAGACGUAACCAUUUACGAUGAGCUCUCUGUCACCUCCAUAAACGAGAAACAUAUCCUUAGUACUUUUCAGGUAUUUCAGGAUGUUCUUGACCGCUUUCCAGUGAUCCACUCCUGGAUUACUUUGGUACCUACCUGCUAAACUAAUAGCAAGUCACACAUCAGGUCUGGUACACAACAUUGCAUACAUGAUAGAACCUAUGGCUGAUGCAUGGGGAAUGACUUUCAUUUUCUCUCUAUCUUCUGCAGUGGUUGGGCAUUGAGUCUGACUCAACUUCACACCUUGUAACAUAGGCAAGAACCCUUUCUUUGACCGAUCCAUUUUGAACAUCUUCAAAACUUUAUCAAGGUAUGUGCUUUGUGAAAGUCCAAUUAAGCAUCUUGAUCUAUCUCUAUAGUGUUGGGGAACACAGUAUUUCAAAAAAAUUCCUACGAUCACGCAAGAUCUAUCUAGGAGAUGCAUAGCAACGGGACGGGGAGUGUGUCCAUGUACCCUCGUAGACCGAAAGCGGAAGAGUUUAGUAACGCGGUUGAUGUAGUCGAGCGUCUUCGCGAUUCAACCUAUCCAAGUACAGAACGUACGGCACCUCCGUGUUCAUCACACGUUCAGCUCGAUGACAUCCCUCGAGCUCUUGAUCCAGUUGUGGACGAGGGAGAGUUCAUCAGCACGACGGCGUGGCGACGGUGAUGAUGAAGUUACCGGCGCAGGGCUUCGCCUAAGCACUACGACGAUAUCACCGAGGUGUGUAACUGUGGAGGGGGGCACCACACACGGCUAAGAGAAGACUUGGUGUGCCCCCUGCCCACGUAUAUAAAGGAGGGAGGGAGGGAGGCCGGCCCUCUAGGGGCGUGCCAAAAGUAUGGAGUCCUACUAGGACUUCCAAGUCCUAGUAGGAAUCCCUUUCCUUUUCGGAGUAGGAGAGAAGGAAAGAGGCAAAGAGAGAGGGAGUAAGAAAAGGCAAGGGGGCGCCGCCCCCUUCCCCUAGUCCAAUUCGGACCCAUGGGGGGGCACCUCCUCUUGGCCUGCCUCCUCUUUUCCAGUAUGGCCCAAUAAGGCCCAUUACUGCUCCCAAUGAAUUCCCGUAACUCCCCGGGACUUUGAAAAAUACCCGAAUCACUCGGAACCUUUCCGAUGUCCGAAUAUAGCCUUCCAAUAUAUGAAUCUUUACCUCUCGACCAUUUUGAGACUCCUCGUCAUGUCCGUGAUCUCAUCAGUACUCCGAACAUACUGCGGUCAUCAAAUCACAUAACUCAUAAUACAAAUCGUCGUCAAACGUUAAGCGUGCGGACCCUACGGGUUCGAGAACUAUGUGGACAUGACCGAGACACUUCUCCGGUCAAUAACCAAUAGCGGAACCUGGAUGCUCAUAUUGGCUCCUACAUAUUCUACGAAGAUCUUUAUUGGUCAAACCGCAUAACAACAUACGUUGUUCCCUUUGUCAUCCGUAUGUUACUUGCCCGAGAUUCGAUCGUUGGUAUCCUCAUACCUAGUUCAAUCUCGUUACCAGCAAGUCUCUUUACUCGUUCCGUAAUGCAUCAUCCCGCAACUGACUCGUUAGUCACAUUUCUUGCAAGGCUUAUAGUGAUGUGCAUUAUCGAGAGGCCCCAGAGAUACCUCUCCGAUACACGGAGUGACAAAUCCUAAUCUCGAUCUAUGCCAACUCAACAAACACCUUCGGAGACACCUAUAGAGCAUCUUUAUAAUCACCCAGUUACGUUGUGACGUUUGAUAGCACACAAGGUGUUCCUCCGGCAUUCGGGAGUUGCAUAAUCUCAUAGUUAGAGGAACAUGUAUAAGUCAUGAAGAAAGCAAUAGCAAUAAAACUAAACGAUCAUUAUGCUAAGCUAACGGAUGGGUCUUGUCCAUCACAUCAUUCUCCUAAUGAUGUGAUCCCGUUCAUCAAAUGACAACACAUGUCCAUGGUCAGGAAACUUAACCAUCUUUGAUGAAUGAGCUAGUCAAGUAGAGGCAUACUAGGGACACUCUGAUUUAUCUAUGUACUCACACAUGUAUCAAGUUUCCGGUUCAUACAAUUCUAGCAUGAAUAAUAAACAUUUAUCAUGAUAUAUGGAAAUAUGAAUAACAUCUUUCUUAUUGCCUCUAGAGCAUAUUUCCUUCAUAUAGAUCUUGAUGCCUAAUAUAUAAGCAGCUUCACCGAGGUCUUUCAUUGAAAAAUUCUGAUUCAAGUAUCCUUUUAUGCUAUUCAGAAGUUCAGUAUCAUUUCCGAUCAAAAAUAUGUCAUCCAUAUAUAAUAUCAAAAAUGCUACAGAGCUCCCACUCACUUUCUUGUAAAUACAGGCUUCUCCAAAAGUGUGUAUAAAACCAUAUGCUUUGAUCACACUAUCAAAGCGUAUAUUCCAACUCCGAGAGGCUUGCACCAGUCCAUAAAUGGAUCGCUGGAGCUUGCACACUUUGUUAGCACCUUUUGGAUCGACAAAACCUUCUGGUUGCAUCAUAUACAACUCUUCUUUAAGGUAUCCAUUAAAGAAUGCAAUUUUGACAUCCAUUUGCCAAAUUUCAUAAUCAUAAAAUGCGGCAAUUGCUAACAUGAUUCAGACUGACUUAAGCAUUGCUACGGGUGAGAAGGCCUCAUCGUAGUCAACUCCAUGAACUUGUCGAAAACCUUUCGCAACAAGUCGAGCUUUGCAGAUAGUAACAUUACCGUCAGCGUUAGUCUUCUUCUUGAAAAUCCAUUUAUUCUCUCUAUUGCUUGCCGAUCAUCGGGCAAGUCAACCAAAGUCCAUACUUUGUUCUCAUACAUGGAUCCCAUCUCAGAUUUCAUGGCCUCAAGCCAUUUCGCGGAAUCUUGGCUCAUCAUCGCUUCCUCAUAGUUCAUAGGUUCCUCAUGGUCAAGUAACAUGACUUCCAGAACAGGAUUACCUUACCACUCUGGUGUGGAUCUUACUCUGGUUGACCUACGAGGUUCAAUAGUAACUUGAUCAGAAGUUUCAUGAUCAUUAUCAUUAGCUUCCUAACUAAUUGGUGUAGGAAUCACUAGAACUGAUUUCUGUGAUGAACUACUUUCCAAUAAGGAGCAGGUACAAUUACCUCAUCAAGUUCUACUUUCCUCCCAAUCACUUCUUUUGAGAGAAACUCCUUCUCUAGAAAGGAUCCAUUCUUAGCAACGAAUAUCUUGCCUUUGGAUAUGUGAUAGAAGGUGUACCCAACAGUCUCCUUUGGGUAUCAUAUGAAGACACAUUUCUCCGAUUUGGGUUCGAGCUUAUCAGGUUGAAGCUUUUUCACAUAAGCAUCGCAACCCCAAACUUUAAGAAACGACAACUUGGGUUUCUUGCCAAACCACAGUUCAUAUGGUGUCGUCUCAACGGAUUUAGAUGGUGCCCUAUUUAACGUGAAUGCAGCCGUCUCUAAAGCAUAACCCCAAAAUGAUAUCGGUAAAUCAGUAAGAGACAUCAUAGAUCGCACCAUAUCCAAUAAAGUACGGCUACAAAGUUCGGACACACCAUUACGCUGUGGUGUUCCAAGUGGCGUGAGUUGCGAAACUAUUCUGCACUGUUUCAAAUGAAGGCCAAACUCAUAACUCAAAUAUUCACCUCCACGAUCAGAUCGUAGAAACUGUAUUUUCAUGUUACGAUGAUUUUCCACUUCACUCUGAAAUUCUUUGAACUUUUCAAAUGUUUCAGACUUAUGCUUCAUCAAGUAGAUAUACCCAUAUCUGCUCAAAUCAUCUGUGAAGGUAAGAAAAUAACGAUACCUGCCGUGAGCCUCAACACUCAUCGGACCGCAUACAUCAGUAUGUAUUAUUUCCAACAAGUCUGUUGCUCGCUCCAUUGUUCCGGAGAACGGAGUCUUAGUCAUCUUGACCAUGAGGCAUGAUUCGCAAGCAUCAAGUGAUUCAUAAUCAAUUGAUUCCAAAAGCCCAUCAGCAUGGAGUUUCUUCGUGCGCUUUACACCAAUAUGACCUAAACGGCAGUGCCACAAAUAAGUUGCACUAUCAUUAUUAAACUUAUAUCUUUUGGCUUCAAUAUUAUGAAUAUGUGUAUCUCUACUGUCGAGAUUCAACAAAAAUAGACCACUCAUCAAGGGUGCAUGAACAUAAAAGAUAUUACUCAUAUAAAUAGAACAACCAUUAUUCUCUGAUUUAAUUGAAUAACCAUCUCACAUCAAACAAGAUCCAGAUAUAAUGUUCAUGCUUAACGCUGGCACCAAAUAACAAUUAUUCAGGUCUAAAACUAAUCCCGAAGGUAGAUGUAGAGGUAGCGUGCCGACGGUGAUCACAUCGACUUUGGAACCAUUUCCCACGCGCAUCGUCACCUCGUCCUUAGCCAAUCUUUGUUUAAUCCGUAGCCCCUGUUUCGAGUUGCAAAUAUGAGCAAUCGAACCAGUAUCACAUACCCAGGCGCUACUAUGAGCAUUAGUAAGGUACACAUCAAUGACAUGUAUAUCAAAUAUACCUUUCACUUUGUCAUCCUUCUUAUCCGCCAAAUACUUGGGGCAGUUCCGCUUCCAGUGACCAGUCCCUUUGCAGUAGAAGCACUCAGUUUCAGGCUUAGGUCCAGACUUGGGCUUCUUCACUUGAGCAGCAACUUGCUUGCUGUUCUUGUUGAAGUUCCCCUUCUUCCCUUUGCCCUUUUUCUUGAAGCUAGUGGUCUUGUUAACCAACAACUUGAUGCUCCUUCUUGAUUUCUACCUCCGCAGCCUUUAGCAUUGCGAAGAGCUCGGGAAUUGUCUUAUCCAUCCCUUGCAUAUUAUAGUUCAUCACGAAGCUUUUAUAGCUUGGUGGCAGUGAUUGAAGAACUCUGUCAAUGACACUAUCAACAAGAAGAUUAACUCGCAGUUGAGUCAAGUGGUUGUGGUACCAGACAUUCUGAGUAUAUGUUCACUGACAGAACUAUUCUCCUCCAUUUUGCAGCUGUGGAACUUAUUGGAGACUUCAUAUCUCUCAAUCCGGGCAUUUGCUUGAAAUAUUAACUUCAACUCCUGGAACAUCUCAUAUGAUCCAUGACGUUCAAAACAUCGUUGAAGUCCCGGUUCUAAGACAUAAAGCAUGGCACACUGAACUAUCGAGUAGUCAUCAGCUUUGCUCUGCCAGACGUUCAUAACAUCUGGAGUUGCUCCUGCAGCAGGUCUUGCACCUAGCGGUGCUUCCAGGACGUAAUUCUUCUAUGCAGCAAUGAGGAUAAUCCUCAAGUUGCGGACCCAGUCCGUGUAGUUGCUACCAUCAUCUUUCAACUUAGCUUUCUCUAGGAACGCAUUAAAAUUCAAAGGAACGGUAGCAUGGGCCAUUGAUCUACAACAACAUAGACAUGCAAAAUACUAUCAGGUACUAAGUUCAUGAUAAACUAAAGUUCAAUUAAUCAUAUUACUUAAGAACUCCCACUUAGAUAGACAACCCUCUAGUCAUCUAAAUGAUCACGUGAUCCAAAUCAACUAAACCAUGUCCGAUCAUCACGUGAGAUGGAGUAGUUUUCAAUGGUGAACAUCACUAUGUUGAUCAUAUCUACUAUAUGAUUCACGCUCGACCUUUCGGUCUCAGUGUUCCGAGGCCAUAUCUACAUAUGCUAGGCUCGUCAAGUUUAACCCGAGUAGUCUGCGUGUGCAAAACUGGCUUGCACCCGAUGUAUGUGAACAUAGAGCUUAUCACACCCGAUCAUCACGUGGUGUCUUGGCACGACGAACUGUAGCAACGGUGCAUACUCAGGGAAGAACACUUAUACUUUGAAAUUUAGUGAGAGAUCAUCUUAUAAUGCUACCGCCGUACUAAGCAAAAUAAGAUGAAUAAAAGAUAAACAUCACAUGCAAUCAAAAUAAGUGAUAUGAUAUGGCCAUCAUCAUCUUGUGCCUUUGAUCUCCAUCUCCAAUGCACCAUCAUGAUCACCAUCGUCACCGGCUUGACACCUUCAUCUCCAUCGAAGCAUCGUUGUCGUCUCGCCAACUAUUGUUUCUACGACUAUCGCUACCGCUUAGUGAUAAAGUAAAGCAAUUACAUGGCGAUUGUAUUUCAUACAAUAAAGCGACAACCAUAUGGCUCCUGCCAGUUGCCGAUAACUGUUACAAACAUGAUCAUCUCAUACAACAAUUUAUAUUUCAUCACGUCUUGACCAUAUCACAUCACAGCAAGCCCUGCAAAAACAAGUUAGACAUUCUCUACUUUGUUGUUGCAAGUUUUACGUGGCUGCUACAGGCUUCUAGCAAGAACCGUUCUUACCUACGCAUCAAAAUCACAACAAUUUUUCGUCAAGUGUGUUGUUUUAACCUUCAACAAGGACCGGGCGUAGUCAAACUCGAUUCAACUAAAGUUGGAGAAACAGACACCCGCUAGCCACCUGUGUGCGAAGCACGUCGGUAGAAGCAGUCUCAUCAACGUGGUCAUGUAAUGUCGGUCCAGGCCGCUUCAUCAAAUAAUACCGCCAAAACAAAGUAAGACGUUGCUGGUAAGUAGUAUGACUGUUAUCGCCCACAACUCAUUGUGUUCCACUCGUGCAUAUAACAUCUACGCAUAAACUUGGCUUUGAUACCACUGUUGGGGAAUGCAGUAUUUCAAAAAAUUUACCUACGAUCACGCAAGAUCUAUCUAGGAGAUGCAUAGCAACGAGCGGGGAGAGUGUGUCCAUGUACCCUCGUAGACCGAAAGCGGAAGUGUUUAGUAACGCGGUUGAUGUAGUUGAACGUCUUCGCGAUCCAACCGAUCCAAGUACCGAACGUAUGGCACCUCCGUGUUCAGCACACGUUUAGCUCGAUGACGUCCCUCGGGCUCUUGAUCCAGUUGAGGACGAGGGAGAGUUCCGUCAACACGACGGCGUGGCGACGGUGAUGAUGAAGUUACCGGCGCAGGGCUUCGCCUAAGCACUAUGACGAUAUGACCGAGGUGUGUAACUGUGGAGGGGGCACCACACACGGUUAAGAGAAACUUGUGUGUCUUUGGGGUGCCCCCCUGCCCCCUUAUAUAAAGGAGGGAGGAGGAGGCCGGCGGCGAGGGAGGAGGCGUGCCAUAGGGGAGUCCAACUAGGAUUCCCAAUCCUAGUUGGAGUCCCCUUCCUUUUUCCAAGAAGGAGAGAGAGGGAAGGAGGAAGAGGGGAGAAGGAAAGAGGGGGCGCCGCCCCCCUCCCUAGUCCAAUUCGGACAGGCCAUGGGGGGCACGGCCUCCCUUGAGGCCCUCCUCUCCUUUCCACUAAGGCCCAUGAAGGCCCAUGAAAUUCCCGGGGAGGGGGGAGGUUCCGGUAACCCCUGGUACUCCGAAACUCAUCCGAAACAACCCGAACCAUUCCGGUGUCCGAAUGUAACCUUCCAAUAUAGGAAUCUUUAUGUCUCAACCAUUUCAAGACUCUUCGUUAUGUCUGUGAUCACAUCCGGGACUCCGAACAAACUUCGGUCAUCAAAUCACAUAACUCAUAAUACAAAUCAUCAUCGAACGUUAAGCGUGCGGACCCUACGGGUUCGAGAACUAUGUAGACAUGACCGAGACACAUCUCUGGUCAAUAACCAAUAGCGGAACCUGGAUGCUCAUAUUGGCUCCUACAUAUUCUAUGAAGAUCUUUAACGGUCAAACCGCAUAACAACAUACGUUGUUCCCUUUGUCAUCGGUAUGUUACUUGCCCGAGAUUCGAUCGUCGGUAUCAUCAUACCUAGUUCAAUCUCGUUACAGACAAGUCUCUUUACUCGUUCUGUAAUGCAUUAUGCCGCAACUAACUCAUUAGUCACAUUUCUUGCAAGGCUUAUAGUGAUGAGCGUUACCGAGAGGGCCCAGAGAUACCUCUCCAAAACACGGAGUGACAAAUCCUAAUCUCGAUCUAUGCCAACUCAACAAGCACCAUCGCAGACACCUGUAGAACAUCUUUAUAAUCACCCAUUUACGUUGUGAUGUUUGAUAGCACACAAGGUGUUCCUCCGGUAUUCGGGAGUUGCAUAAUCUCAUAGUCAGAGGAACAUGUAUAAGCCAUGAUGAAAGCAAUAGCAAUAAAAUUUAAAUGAUCAUUAAUGCUAAGCUAACGGAUGGGUCUUGUCCAUCACAUCAUUCUCUAAUGAUGUGAUCCCGUUCAUCAAAUGACAACACAUGUCUAUGGUCAGGAAACUUAACCAUCUUUGAUUAACGAGCUAGUCUAGUAGAGGCAUACUAGGGACACUCUGUUUGUCUAUGUAUUCACACAUGUACUAAGUUUCCGGUUAAUACAAUUCCAGCAUGAAUAAUAAAAAUUUAUCAUGAUAUAAGGAAAUAUAAAUAACAACUUUAUUAUUGCCUCUAGGGCAUAUUUCCUUCAGUGGCGUGCGGCGUGGCAGUGGGGUUGGGCAGAGCGGUGCGCUGGCGAUGCGGGGGCAGGGGCGUAGCGAGCUGGACGGGGGCGAGCGUGCGCUGGCUCGUGCGCGUGCGGGCGCAGGCCGCGGCCACGGGGCGGCCAGAGCCGGAGACAAGGAGUGGGGGCAGGCGUGCGAGGGGAGAUUGUGUGGGGAGUUCGGGCGAACGGGGUCGUGGCCAGCGCGGAGUAACGGCUGCAGAUGCAUGCCACGACGACGAGUGGACGAGGCGGGCGUGGGCUCGGCGAGUGUGCGUGUGCGGAGGAGGGUGCGGUCAUCGCGGGCGCUGGGCGUGCACUACAAAGAAAAUACACUUCCGUGAUGAUACGUGUUUGUCACAGUAGGUCACGUUUUCUAUCAUGCAUGUACAUCCAUGACAAAUUUAUAACAGAAUCAAGAUAGUCAUACCUGUGCUGUCGUAGAAGUGUUCCAUGACAUUACCAAAAUUAUCAUCACGGAAGUGUCCACUUCCAUGAUGAUAAAUCGCGCGUCACAGAAGUGCUUUCGUCAAGGGUGACCGACAUGUGGCAUCCACCGUAAUGGAACGCCGUUAAGCUAUCGGGUCCGGUUUUGGAUCCGAUAACCCAUAAACAGCCCCGACCAAUGGGGAUUUUCCACGUGUAAAAUCAUCAUUGGCUGGAGGAAACACGUGUCGGCUCACCGUUGGGACAGAUGUCAUCCACUCAUUGGACCCAAAGCGCCUAUGAUACGUCGACACGUGGCACGGCCCAACAGAGGCCCAUUCCUAUGAAAAGGCCGACCCGUUUGACUUGGUCAAAAGAUGGCGGGCCGGCCCACAGCAAGCCUGUUAACGGCUUGUUCGCAUAUAGCCCAUUUACAGCCCGCUAACCCAGGGCCCGUUUACGGCCUAUCCGAAUUAGGCCCAGUAGCGUCAUCUGGGCCGUCCAAUAUAAUUCCAGCCCGUUUUAACUUCCGGUUCAUGUAUGGCCCAUGACGUCUUUUGGCCCAUAUGAGGCCCUUUGUAACUCUCGGCCCAUUAACGGCCCGUGGUAAAACUGGCCCGUAAUGAACAGUGUAUCACUUUAUACCCAUUAACGGCAAGUGGUGAAACUGGCCCGUAAUGAACAGUGUAUCACUUCAUACCCAUUAACGGCCCAUUAUUCCAUUGGGCCGUUUCCAGCCCAUGUUAUCUUUCGGCCUUCUCAGGGCCCAUUUAUUCUUGGGCUCAUUUCCAGCAUUCGGUUACUUACGGCCCGUUACUCUCAUUUUAUGCUUGUGGGCCAAAUUCAGCCCGUGGUUACAGUCGGCCCGUUUGUGGCCCGUUAAUACGCUGGGCCGUUUUCAUGUAAAAAAACACGUUGGGCUGUUUUCAUAGAGUUAUGAAAUACGGCCUAUUAAUGGCACGUUAUUGUCCAUGAAUAGUAUGGCCCAUGAUUGGCGAAAUGAUGAUACGCCCCGUAGAAGGCCCAUGGAUCCUACGGCCCGUAGAAGGCCCAUGGAUCUAUGGGCCGUAGAAGGCCCAUGGAUCCUACGGCCCGUAGAAGGCCCAUGGAUCAUACGGCCCGCAGGAGGCCCAUGGUUACAACAGUCCGUGUGUUGCCAUGAUUAUUUUGGCCUAGUUCCCAAAAAUAGGUUAUUGUGGCCACUAGAAAAACACAGAAAAAGAACUGCAGUGACUACAAGCAAACAACUAAACAAGACAAUAAGGAAAUAAAUAAGCAAGCAAUUAACGCUAGCCUAUUACCGCUAUUACCGCUAUUACACAUAUUACAUCCACUAGGCAUCAAAGUUCGCCACCAGUGCAAAUAUAGGGAACAAAGCAGCAUAUUACAUACACUGGUCGUCAAAAUUGGCCACAAGUGCAAAUAAACACGGCAGCAAAACAAGAGCAUAACUGAAACAACUUCAGAAGAGCUCAAGAAAUGUUAUCUUGGGUAUCCACCAUGCUCGCAAUAAGCUUAGCAAGCUUAUUAGCUUUGUCCUGUUUGGCGCUAAAAUCCUCCAACGCUUGCUGUUGCACCAGAAAGUAUGCAUCUGAAUGCUCCAGGGACUUCCGCAAUCCUUCCGCUUCUUGUCGCAGCACAGCUGAUCGAUGUCUUUCAGCUGUAGUUGAGACUCAAGAAACCGAACUGAUUCAGACAGUGAGUUUGAAUAGCUUGUGCAAGCAGUAGUGGCCAGUAACUCGAACACUAAACCAAGGCAGGACUUUGGGGUUGUCUCACUGUCUUCGAGAUAGUCUUCCUUAGCUGUUUUAUCAGCUUUGUUGGAGACCAACAAGGAUGUGUCACUAUCCUGAACCUUAUCUGCAUUACUUCAUUUACCAUUGCUUAAUAAGGCACUCUUCCCCAAUAUUCUGUCAGUAUUCUAAAAGAAGAAACAAGCAGACACAUAACAGGUUUAGCAUGUACUAGUAUAUGAAACUCAUUUCGGUGAACCAGUUCAUUAGUAGGGUGGACAGGAUUAAACUACCAAGUCUUCUAUUGCCAAGUACUAGUACAUAAUAAAAGCAUCAAACAAACAUAUAUCUAUGUCCUAUGGUCAUUGCAUUGUCUUGCCAAAUCAAAAUAGAGACAUGGUUCAAAUCAUAUCAUUUCAAGACAAAGCAGCAGUGAAAGAAUACAAAGCGUGGGAAACUACACGGCACAACAAGAUUUCAGAUGGGUACCACGGGUCUACAUGUACAACAACACUAUUGGCUCUGUUGUGAUGCUAGUAAUGUGCAUGAUAUGAGAAGUCAACUGUAUACACAAUUGAAAUUGAAAUCAACAAAGCUAUUGAUAAGAGCAAGCCUGUUAAAGAUACAUGCGUGAACAUACCUGCUGUGCCAUUGGAGUUUCGAUUAGAUCCUUCAAUUUAAAAAUAAGUUUGUAUGAGUAAAUACAGUGAUACAAGAGCAAAGCAGUAUGCACGAUAGCAAUCAUAGUUAAAAAAGGCGCGCCUAAGCGAGCGCUUAAGCGCGCCUAGGCUCUAGGCGUUGGCGAAACGCAUUGCGCAUAACUACGGUUAAUCUAUGCAUAACUGCGCAUCAGCAUGCGCUUUGGUCAGUAAAGCACAAGGCGGUGGCAAAACGCACAAUUAACGCCUAGCGCUUUUUUGAACUAUGAUAGCAAUGGAAUCUUAAAUUAGAACAGUUGUUCUUCAGGUUUAGGCACUUUUUCUACAUGAACAGAGUACAGUAAGACGCAAGAAUAUAGUACUUAAAAAUAGAAAAUGAGCUCAUAGACCUUACCACAUUCUUGGCUCGGGAUCAGUACAGAACAAGGCGUUCCCAGUCAUCGUCGAGUAAAUGUGUCUCAGGAGAACGUAAGGGAAUUUGAUGAGUUUCUUUGCCGGUGAAGUACGUUUUCUUCAGGUAAUUCCGAUACUGCCACCAAGCAUUCUUGAAGAUAGCAGAGGUAUUAGCACAGGUUACCUCAUACUGAGUUUCCAAAUCGGUCCUUCUCUAUAGAAAAAAAUGGGAAAAUUUGCUGUAUUAUAACCAUCAUGGAGGUAGGAUGUAUGGGACAAAGCAAAGUAAUUGCCAUGAAUAACAUUACUUACACAUAACUCCUGGACAAACACCUGCAACUGGCAUUUUCCUUCAUCUUCAGUAUAAUAUUUCCAAGAUGGGAAGAUACGCACAUAUUAUUUAAGAACAUCAAAUGCGACAGAUGCUAAACUACGACUAGCUGGUUGUGCUUCCUCCAUAGGAAUAGGCGUACUAACUGGUGGAGUUGGGGUUCGCCGUGGUAGUACUGACCCUUUGGGGACUGGAGCUGCCUUACUAACUGCUCUUGUUUGGGAGCUCUGUGGUGGAGAUGGUGCUGUGUGAACAGGAACUGGGUUACUAUCUGCUGGGGUUGGGGUUAGAUUGGGUGAAGCUGGUUCUCUGUCCAUCGCAGUAGGGGUACAAUCUGCGAGAGUUUGGGUUAUGUGUGGUAUGGCUGGUUCUCGUGCAUGUACAACCGGGUUGCUAUCUCCACCAAGAGGUAGCACUGUUUUAUUUGAAGACCGUGUUUUUAGUCCGCUAGAUGCUGGCAUCACCCGCUCCAAUUCAAAUGGCUGAUAAACAGGAAACAUAGUUGAAUGUACAGACAUUGUAUGAGAGACAGAUGCAAUAGAUAGUGUGGAAAAAAGAGGACAUGAAAUAGUUGACAGGUAUAUUGUUUAACUAAAACGGAUAGCAUGACAUAAUUUCACAUAUAUGAUGUCUAUCUAAACUGGAUAGCAUAGCAUAACAUAAUUCAAAGAUAUGAUGAAUAACUAAACAGGAUCGCAUGACAUAAUUCACCUACAUGUUAUCUAAGUAAUCAGGAUCACAUCAUUUAAUUCACAUAUGUGAUUUAUAUGCUAAACAGAGGGCAUUAGGUAUGAUGUCUGAACUAAGAACAUGGUGUUGAAUAUUGUGUAUAUGAUGUCUAAACUAUGCAAUGCAAGACACCAUAUGCAUGAUAUGAGCAGUAUAACCGUGCCAAGUUAGAGCAUACACCUCGGUGGGGGAAUAGGACUGGUCAUCUGUCUCUGAAUCCAUCUCUAAGGAGCUAUCGGGACCCAACAAGAGAUCUGCUUCGACAGGUAGCACUAUCUGCUCCGAAGGCCUUGUUUUCACUCCAGAUUUUUCAAUCUCCCACCCAAAUGGCUGAUUCACAGGAAGAGUAGUUUAAUGUACAAACGUUGUCGACAAAUGGAAAUGUAAUGAAGAAAAGGAUCGGCAAGAUAUCAUUCAAAUAUAUGAUGUCUGGUUAAACAGGAUGGCAUUGCACAUUUCACAUAUAUUAUGGCUGGCUAAAAGACAUGAGACUGCAUAAUUCCCAUAUAUGAUAUAGAAACUAAACAGGUGGCAUUACAGAACAUGUCUAAACUAAGCAAAUGACAUAUAUGAUGUCAAAAGUAGGCACUUCAAGGCAACAUAUGCAUGAUAUGACUAACAUCAUCAUGCCAAGGUAGAACAAACACCUUGGGGGGUAAAUAGGAGUGGUCAGCGACGUCUGGAUCCACCUCAAAACAGAUAUCUUCCUCUGGAUUACAAUCUGGAGAGGGGCGGGGAGGGUUUCCAUUGAACCCACCAUGGAGCGAUGUCUGCAUGACAUUGUAUUGCCGCGCAAAACUCUUCUCUUUUUCUCUACAUGUUCAGCAUGACUGUGUACAAUAUCUGACAUGCAUACGAAAAAAUAUGAUGAGAUUAUGUAAGGAGAGCAUGCAGAAAUUUAGAGUGAUGGUAACAACCAGUGGAUGGAUCCAAAAAUAAUGAUAGCGGGCUGAUGAUUGCUUUAAUUUAAUAAAAAAGUCAGAUGAUGAUUGCUUUACUAUUUUUUUCCCACCCAAGAUGAACAACAUAGGCAUACCCUAGGUGAACCAAAUAUUAGACAGAGAUACUAUGCAUUGCUUCCUCGAUAUGUGCCCCACAACUAAUUUAGAACUCAAGUUUGAACAUUAAUUUGGACCUGACUUGGAGUCCAAGAGGUGAACAGGAUGAUAAAGUAGCAGGUAAGUUUAAGCAAUGCAUAACAUAAGCAGAAACAAAAGAGUGCGACCUCUCUUGUGGACCCGUGUACUCCUCAGGUUCAUCUGCUGAGUCGAUGAUGGUGAUGCCGUUGCGGUGGGUGCUGGCGGCACGGAAGGAGAUCUGAGGCGGCGAAAGACGGUCAGGAGUCGUGAUGUCUGGCUUGGUGGAUGUUUCUGCCGAUGGAGCAGCUCAGGUGAGGUGGACGACGUCGCGGCAGGAGCAGGACAAACCACACAAAGUUCCCUUCGACACCUACCUGUAACUGAAGUAAUUCUGUAAGGGCUCAUUUGGCUUGCAUGAUUCUUAAAACGCAGGGAUAGGAAAAACACCGGAAUAGGAUAGGAAUGCACAUGGUAAACAGAGCAUUUGUAAACACAGGAUUUCUGUCAACUUGGGUGUUUGGUUUACAGGAAUUGGAAGAGCAGAGGAAUGCAAAGAAACAUGGCCAAAAUAAAGUGAAACCAUAUGAAAGCGUGUACAGUUAGAAUGUUAUUCUGCCACUAAUGCACUUGGUCUUGUUUUCAUGCGUAGGAUUUUGAAAAGUAGGUCCAGGUGGAUGUUUUGCUUCAUUCCUUUCAACAAAAUGCAUGAAUAAUUGAAUAGUAGAGUGCCAUUGGAAAAAUUCCCUAUUGCUAUGUUUUUCCGUUGAACCAAAAUAGCCCUAAUGGAUCGACAUGAAUGUAUAGUAAUAAGUGAUGCAACAAGUGUACAACCUCUUUGUCAUAGCCGUGUCGACCUCAACAUCAUUGGGUUGGUCGCUAAAGCAGUUGAGGCAGAGGUGGCUGUCGGAGGUGUGGAGGAAGAUCUGAGGAAUCUGUAGACGGCGUCCAGGGCACUGCUCUGUUGUGAUGGAUCGUUCUGUCGUUGGAGCAGCUCCGGUGAGCCGUAAGACGUCAAGGCUGAAGCAGCACAAGACAGACAUCGUCAAUCUCAAGUGGGAUUCUAAUAGCAUCUCCAAUAGAUGAUGUAAAAUAGAUGUAAAAUUUACAUCACCAAAAGCCACCUGAGUACAACAAAUGAGGUAAAAACUGUUGACUCUGAACUUAACUGUCGAAACUGAAAUUUACUGUGGAAUCUGAAUGUUACUUUUGAAAUUGAACGCAAUGGUCGCAGAGAGGCACUUGACAUGUAGUUUAGGGAGGGCCUGCAGUUCAUCUUCAACCUGCACCCCCCUGAGCCACCAGCCACCACUGGCCGAACCGCCGGCCCCAGCGCCGCCUCGCUGCCCCGAAACAACUCCCCACCGCCGGUCCGCCGCCCUGGCCAGCCCUCUAGGCCCUCCGCCCCCACCCUGAACCCUAAGAUAGAUAGUGGGGUACCUCUUCGGCGAGCCCCCGUCCCCGCUGCGGGUGGUUCUUCCUUAACUCUGGCGAGCCCCCCACCCCUUGAAAAUCGACUGACCCAAAAGUCAAUUCAGUCUACUGAAGUGUAGCUAAAUCGAUGCAGAGCAGCAGCACGAGCGAGGGGGAGAGCAGCAGCAGCAGUGCGAGCGAGCGAGCGAGAGCCGGAGCAGCAGCAGUAGAUCCGGCUGGUAUGGAUGCCGCCGCCGAAGGGGCCUCGCACUGGGGGAGAGCCGCCAUGGAGAUGUCGCCCGCGGCGCCGGCUUCAAGGUAGCCACUCCAUGGGGGUGCGGGAUGGAGCACCGUCGGCGCCGGGAGGUCGAGUUAAGGAGAAGGUGCGAUGCGAUGAGUGUACAACCUCUUUGGUGGCACCGAGUAGGCCUCAGCUUCGUCCGAGGAGUCACUGAGGAUGCUGCGGUUCCGGUGGAGCAGGUUAAGGCGUUGCUGUGGGGAUGGAGCAGCCGCAUAGACGAGGCGAUCGUCGGAGCAGCUCCUUGGAGGUGGAGGAUGGGGCGGCUGAACCGGCGGGACGAUGAGAUGGACGACGGAUCCUCAUCCGGGGAGGUGGACGAGGUACGUCGAGCUGUUGCGGUGGACGAGGUCGUCAGGGAAGAGGCUCCGACUGGGCAGCGGUGAGGUGGCGGACAGAGGAGGGUGGGGUUUCGCGGCUGAAGCGGAGAGGUUAUGGCGGCCUGGAUUUCGAAUGGCAAAAAGGAGGCGAUGGGCGGGGGUGAACCAUGACUUAGGGACGCGCUUGUCCAAAAUGUAGGGUGUGUUACAAAAGUACCCCCCACCGAUUUGAACUAGCGGCCCUUUCGGCUCAGGGUUAGAAGGGGAUUCCGCGUGUCGGGAUUUGGCAGCUGGAGGGAGUUUUCGCGCGCGUUGUAAUUUCGGGAUAGCAAGGCGCGGGUUGUGAAGGUGCCAGUUUGGGAGCACGAUAUCUGAAUUUUCGGGAUAUAUCAAGGCGCGGGUUGAAUUUUAGGGACAAGCCUAACGUGUAAUAUUGUACUUGUACAUACCAAAUCAAUUCGCAGUUCCCUCAACCAAAAAGAAAACUAUUCACACCACACAAAGAGAGAGUCUUGCCCCAUUUUACUAUAAAAAUGCUAUUCAAAGCUACUCCCUCCUUCCAUCUAUAUAGGGCCUAAUGCGUUUUUCGAUGCUAACUUUGACCAAAUAUUAGAGCAAUAAGAUAUGACAUGCAACUUACACAAAGCACACCGUUAAAUUCGUGUGUGAAAGGUACUUUCAAUGAUAUAAUUUUCACAUUGUGCAUGUCAUGUACUAUUAAUCUUGUCAAUAGUCAAAGGCGGUCUUAAAAUACGCAUUACGCCCUAUAUAGAUGGAAGGAGGGAGUAUGAAUCCAUGUUAUGUCCAAUUAAUUUUUUUCGCUUGCUGUAUAAUGCAUGUAACCUACUCAAACCAACAUUUUUGUGCAUUCCAAAUGUCUAUACUACCGCUGCAAUUCGAACUGAAUUUGAAUUCGUUUCGCUAUUUCAAUAAGAAUCUACAAUCAUGAUUGUUGCCAACUUCAACCAUCAUUCGUGUAUUACCUUAAUAACACACCACAUGAUUACUAUAGAGAUAGAUAUGAACUAUGUAUACUACAUGAACUCGAAUUCUAUUUUUUGAAUACACUUGAUAUCGAUUCCAAAUAAUAGUACAUUUGAUGUACUAACUAUAUAUUCAUAAUCUAAACCAUGUUCCAUACGUACACCGUGUUUAUCACACAUAGUAUAGUGCCCCGCCCCCUACAUUAUGACAAGUAUUUAGACCUGAGCUGCAAAAGCCACACAUUAGCCCAUGAUCAAUGUUCUAUAUAUUAUACGUAGUACUAGCAAGAUGCCCAUGCGUUCCACAGAACAUCAACAUGAUCAAGGGGAGGCCUAAUUUGCAAAUAUGGAGAGGGGUGUGGGUAUCUUUUUUCAAAAUUGCCAUAGUUUCCUUCCUAUCCGUCAGAUAUAAAUCGGACGGCCUAUAUUGCAGGAUGGCAGGCACACCAUCAUCAACAACUCCGUUUUUUAUAAGAGUAGAGAUAAAAUAUAUUAUAUGUAGUAUAACAUGUUCAUAACCACACCAUGUGUAUCACCGUUAUAUAUAUUCACACAUGCGUCGGUUUAAAACACUACGAUAAAUUCUUCAAAUAUCCGAAUUCGCUUUUUAUAAUGAAGUAUGAUCUCUAUUCGUCUUUUACACCCACACAAUCCUCUUAUCUUUGUAGUUAGUGCUAACUUUCUGUCGUGCAUGCACACGCCCGCAUCCCUCUCACCCUCCCUCAGCAUUCUCUAGCUCUAUCACGCAAAUUCGUCUUUUCACUUUAGGUCAUUCACCCACGGUGUGUGUAGGCCCCCCAGCUCCUUCUUUACGGCACACAUCGAUCGAUAUGCCUCUCUAGCCAGGUGUGCCUAACACAAACACAAGCUUCCCCUCUUCUCUUAUCACCGUCCAGGCCUCACUCCCACCACUCUUUUCAUCGAUCUCGUACUCGCACACUCCUUCCCCCUCGAUAUAGUAUGACUCUCGCACCACCUCCUAGAUGCAUCCCUCUCUCUCUAUCCUUCUCCCCAUGCCUCAUUUGCUUCUAACACACACAUGCAUGUAUACCGAUCGAUCUCCUAACAUAUACCUAGGUCGACUUUAACUAUUCCCCCCCCAUCGAUCGACGUACCUCACAAGUUAUGUCUCUCCUUUCUCUGGCAAAGGACGAUUGAUCUUCCUAUGUAGUUAUGUCUGCUUACCACAGCCAUAUCGUCCCCCCUCAUCAUUCGUGCAUGCCUCCUGACCCGUCUCUCACAUGCACGUGCACAGUCAGGCAGCUAUCCCCUCUCUUAUUGAUAUUGCAGGCGUGCCCCCGGGUUGUCUAGCAAGCCUAUCCCACCAUUUGUUAGAAGCAACUCCACUACCACCCCCUCCAACACUCUAGCUCUGUCUCUCUCCCAACCUUAUUCCUCUCCUACACAUAUGCAUGGAUGCCGAUCGAUCUCCCUUAUUACAUGAGGUAGAUCGAUCUCCCUUAAUACAUGAGGUAGGCCUCUCUCCUCCUCCACACAUAUACCAGCCAUUGUACCUCUAUAGUUAAUUAGGCCCCCCUCCCCCCCCACCACAAACCGAUAGUCGAGCGCUGUACAUAGGUAUCCAUGCCACAGAGACAAACUGCACCUGUCCCCUCUCACGUUCUAGUAGGCCAGCCACUCUAUAUCUUUGACGUGGGCACACACAAAUUCGAUGGCACUCUUUAUCGAUCGCGCGCGCGCGCGCGCACACACAUCAUCAUCCCUCUCUUCGAUUCUAUGGACACCUCAAGCCGAUGAUACCUCCACUCUCUUCUCGUGAAUCGCCCCCUCUAUAUAUAUGAUAUAUCCAGGACUCUAUUUCACACACAUUGCAUAUGUUACAUUUUUUUAUUGACCCCCCCCCCAAAAACUCUCACGAACCCACACACUAUAUCUCUCUACGUUUGUAUCUCUCUCACACAACCCCACGUAGGUGGUGUACGUAUACAAGAAGAGAAUAGGUGCACCAUGCACGUACUCACGCUUCGUGCCCAGCCACACCCGCACGGGUACACGGUGGAGCUCAUUUUUGUACGAAAUGGCAGCCCACAUGCUAAUUUGAACGCGUGUAGCGGUUGUUUACCUACGGAGGUCGUGUACCACGCGUGCACGAAACAAAGUUCGACUUGAUGCGUUGGCGCGUCAUUUUUGAAUAAAGGUAUAUCGCUCAAUGGCACGUACACAGAAUAUAAAACGAUUUUUAUGGAGAAAAAGGUAGUCCGCUCCACUAUAUAUAAUGGAGCCUGCCUGCCUGGUUUGUCUCUCAUGAGAGUAUCUCACACAAGGCUGCGGUGGCCUAUCUCUCUCUCUCACCGUUGGUCACUGAUCCGGCCGCAUCCCGUCCGCCGGCGGAAAGGGAGGACGUGCAUCGUUUCUCCGUUCGACGGCGCCGAGGCAGCACGUCCCGAUCUGCGGUACAUACCGUUCUCUCUGACCAAGCUCCGGCGCGGUAGGGCCUACACCACCUGCUCGCUGCCGCAGUAUGGGCAGAUUCCGCCCGCCGCCGCUCACCUAGUUACAUCCCGACGACCUCCAGGUAUCCCCUCGGCCUUGCUCCACUGCCCGUCUUCCCACGUCGCAGCAUGUGGAUCUUCCAUAGUUCUUUGCCCAAAACGUAGCUCGUCCGGCGUACUUUCCAUAUUGCAAUCUCGUCCUCACACCGUUUUAUACAAACACAACCGUGUUGUUACCUUCCCUUAGGACAAGGAAUAUGCUUCUUUUUUGUCGUCGCAUGUGUCAUCAACUGUUAUUGGCCAGUAGUUGUUUCCUUUUUACCUCUUUUUUGCAAACAGGCUAUCCAUUUCACCUCGUUGCUAUUGCGACCUUUUGGUGAACUGCACAAAUCACUUUUUUCUUAAGAGUGUUUUGUGCAGUUCUACCAAAAUAUCACACGGGCAACAUCUCUACAUUUCAGUGUGACUGCACAAAGGGAGAUUGGUUUUGCUCUAUCCUCCUCAUCCAACUCCGAGCCUACUCUUCUCCAACUAGUUAGUCUUAAGAGAGGCUGCAAAGGUGACCGGCUUCUAUUUGUGUGUUUAUUGUUUCAUCAGCAGUCCUCUAUUAUCGUAAUCACACUUAAUAUCUUUGGAACAGGGACGCUCAGCUCUAUUUUAGUGGAACUGCACAAAAUGAUCGGAAUGUUGCAUGCUCCAAACAGCUACUUUUUUUCCCAACAUGCCUUGUCGAUUUAGACAGAGCUGGGGGGACGUUGCUGCCAAUGAAAGCAUGGAUCAAUUUUAAUUUAACACCUUCUCACAACUUUGUCUUCUGUUGUGAUGUAAAUAUUAGCUCUGAUCUGCUAAUAAUUGAGAUGCAUUAGCAAGGAAGUUAGUUUUUUAUUGUUUCCGAAAGAGCAUCAAUGGCAAGACACACGAAACAAAAGCCGAAAGCUCACACCAUUGUACAAUUUCAUGUCGCUGGAAAAUUAUUUGUAUAGUACGUCAAUUAUGUAAACAAAUGCUGGAAGCUUGAUAGCAUUGCCAGAAGCCUCUUCGGCAUCCGGGUCCAUGUGCCAUGCACAAAAUUAUACUCCUUCGUUCCUAAAUAUUUGUCUUUUUACAAAUUUCAAAUGGGCAUAUUUUAGAGUGUAGAUUCACUCAUUUUGCUUCGUAUGUGUACUCCCUCCUUUCCUAAAUAUUUGUCUUUCUAGAGAUUUCAACAAGUGACUACAUACGGAGCAAAAUGAGUGAAUCUACACUCUAAAAUAUAUCUAUAUACAUCUGUAUGUGGUAGUCCAUUUGAAUCUCUAAAAAGACAAAUAUUUGAGUAGUCACUCGUUGAAAUCUCUAGAAAGACAAAUACUCCAGAGUAUAUUUAAGAACCGAGGGGGUAGUGCACAGCCGCAUGGGAGACUCAGCCCGGUCGUUGCGCCGCACUAAUAGUGAGUCAUGAGUAGUCAAAUCAUAAGCCCCACCUUUCCCACUGUAAGUUGCUCAGAAGAAGGAACCAUCAAUACGCUCUUCUUUGAAUCCGCUCAUACUACUCCAUCCGUCACUGCUUAUAGAGCGCGCUUCAGAAAAAAGAAAAAAUCUAUGGGACCAAGGCGACUAGCGAUCGGCCUGAAAAAUAGCAUUGGUAGUUAUAGCACGGUGUCUAUUAUUAGAGGAAAUAAUGCGUACACACAUGCAUGCAGUGCUUCCACCCCGGGUGCACACAUGCAUGCACUUACUCCACUCCGUAGUACAUCGAGAGAACAUUGUGGGCUUGAUUGCGGUUACCACGCCCUAAUUAAUUGAGCAUUAAACCAAACGCGUCUAAAGUCUCUCUGGGGUGCAAAUGCAUUGAGAGAAAUGCAUCAUAAUGAAGCACGCCCUGUAAACUGUGACGGAGGGAGUGAGGGAGUCCUGGAUGAGGGGGUCCCCGGACAGUCGGACUAUAUACUUUAGCCGGACUGUUGGACUAUGAGGACACAAGAUUGAAGACUCCGUCCCGUGUCCGGAUGGGACUCUCCUUGGCGUGGAAGGCAAGCUUGGCAAUAGGGAUAUGUAGAUCUCCUCCCUUGUAACCGACUCUGUGUAACCCUAGCCCCCUCCGGUGUCUAUAUAAACCGGAGGGUUUAGUCCGUAGGACAACAACAAUCAUACCAUAGGCUAGCUUCUAGGGUUUAGCCUCUACGAUCUCGUGGUAGAUCAACUCUUGUAAUGCUCAUAUCAUCAAGAUCAAUCAAGCAGGAAGUAGGGUAUUACCUCCAUCGAGAGGGCCCGAACCUGGGUAAACAUCGUGUCCCCCGCCUCCUGUUACCAUCUGCCUUAGACGCACAGUUUGGGACCCCCUACCCGAGAUCCGCCAGUUUUGACACCGACAUUGGUGCUUUCAUUGAGAGUUCCACUGUGCCGUCGCGAUAAAGGCUUGAUGGCUCCUUCGAUCAUCGCCAACGAUGCGAUCCGGGGAGAGGUUUUCCUCCCCGAACAGAUCUUCGUAUUCGGCGGCUUCGUACUGCGGGCCAACUCGCUUGGCCAUCUGGAGCAGAUCGAGAGCUACGCCCCUGGCCAUCAAGUCAGGUUUGGAAACUUGAACUAUACUGCCGACAUACAUGGAGACUUGAUCUUCGACGGAUUCGAGCCCAUGUCAGGUGCGCUGCACAGUCACGACGAGCAUGACGUAGCCCUGCCGUCGGACAGUGUUCGGGAGAUCACACCUGCGACUACUCCGGCCCUCAAUCCGGAACAGAUUGCGCCGUUCGAGGACGGGUGGAUGGACCCCGCCAUGAAGGCCGCGCACUCAGCGGCGAUAGAGCCGAAUGCUGACUUCACUUCCUAUGAGACCCGUGUUGCCGGACACUUGGAUUCGUCCCCGGCCACGGGGUCUGAGCCGCCUGCGUCCGUGCCUAUGGAAUCCGAUUGGGCACCGAUUAUGGAGUUUUCCUCCGCGGAUAUCUUUUAGCACUCACCACCGGGCGACGUGCUAAACUCAUUGAGGUCUCUCUCCUUGUCAGGAGACCAUUGGACGAACUAUGUCCGGCUAGAAUGGGAUGCGGACGACGAAGAAAUUUGCUCCCCACCCACCACCCACUUAGUAGCCACUCUCGACGAUUUAACCGACAUGCUCGAUUUCGGCUCCGAAGACAUCAACGGUAUGGACGACGAUGCAGGAGACGAACAGGAACCACCGCCCACAGGGCGCUGGACUGCCACCUCAUCAUAUGAUAUAUACAUGGUGGACACCCCCAAAGAAGGCAAUGGCGAUAAGACAACGGAGGAUAAUCCCUCCAAGAAGCAAUCCAAGCACCGACGUCAGCGGCGCCGCUCUAAGUCCCGCCAUAGCAAAAGCAGCGAUACCGGCACAAGAGGCAAUAAUGCUCCGGAUAGUGCCGAAGACGAUGACAAUCCCCUCCAGCCAGACCUCGAGCGGGAGGAUGAACAAGCUAGCCCUCUGGAACAGGCAGCAGACGGAGAAUCAGAGGAUGACAAUUACAUGUCUCUCUCCGAAGACAAGGUGAGCCUCGACGACGAAGAAUUUAUCGUACCUGAGGAUCCCGUCGAGCAGGAGCGCUUCAAGCGCCGGCUUAUAGCCACAGCAAACAGCCUGAAGAAAAAGCAACAACAGCUUCGAGCUGAUCAAGAUCUGCUAGCAGAUAGAUGGACUGAAGUCCUGGCGGCCGAGGAAUACGAACUCGAGCGCCCAACCAAGAGUUACCCAAAGCGCAGGUUGCUACCCCAACUCGAGGAGGAAGCAUUAAAACCUACAUUACCAGCGUAUGAUGCAGCUGAUCGGCCACCUCAUGGCCGAGACAGAGGGGCAUACCAGCCCGAAGUCCAGCCCGCACCCCGCCGCCAUUCAAACAAAAAUACCAAGGCCCGGGGCAACACACAGGACCUGCAAAACGCAUUGAAAAACAAAGCAGGACAUACAAGAUUGAUCUACGGAUCACGGGCUCGCGCCCAAACGUGUGACGAUGAUCGUCACGCCGGAUACACUAAAAGCAAAUCCGGCCGGGCCGAAUACAGCAGACAAGACUCGUAUGAACUGCGUCGCGACAUAGCCCGACAGAGAGGUGCCGCACACCCCCUACGCUUCACUGAUGAAGUAAUGGAUCACGAAUUCCGAGAAGGGUUUAAACCCGUAAAUAUUGAAUCAUAUGAUGGUACUACAGACCCCGCGGUAUGGAUAGAAGACUUCUUCCUCCACAUUCACAUGGCCCGCGGGGAUGAUCUACACGCCAUCAAGUAUCUCCCGCUAAAACUCAAAGGGCCCGCUCGGCAUUGGCUGAAUAGCUUGCCGGCAAACUCCAUCGGAAGUUGGGAGAGCCUGGCAGAUGCAUUCCUGGACAAUUUCCAGGGCAAUUAUGUGCGACCGCCGGAUGCUGACGAUUUAAGUCAUAUAACUCAGCAGCCAGGGGAAUCGGCCAGGAAAUUCUGGACCUGGUUCCUAACUAAGAAGAACCAAAUUGUCGACUGUCCGGAUGUAGAGGCCUUAGCGGCAUUUAAGCAUAACAUCCAUGACGAGUGGCUCGCCCGGCACCUCGGCCAAGAGAAGCCAAAAUCCAUGGCAGCCCUCACGACACUUAUGACCCGCUUUUGCGCGGGCGAAGAUAGCUGGUUGGCUCGUAGUAACAAUACAUCAAGCAAACCUGGCACAUCAGAGGCCAGGGAUAGCAACGGCAAACCACGAUGCAACAAACACAAGCGCCGCAAAUAUGGUGAAAACGCCGAAGAUACGGCAGUUAAUGCCGGGUUUAGUGGCUCAAAGUCCGGACAGCGGGAAGGGCCACUCAAAAAUAACAAUUCGGGUCCAUCCAGUCUGAACCGCAUACUCGAUCGCCAAUGCCAAAUUCAUGGCACCCCAGGAAUGCCAGCCGCCCAUACCAACAGAGAAUGCUGGGUCUUCAAACAAGCCGGCAGGGCAGGCGCCAAAAACGGAGAAGGGGGGUCUCAAAGCGAUGAUGGCGACGAAGAGCCCAGAUCAUCGAACACAGGAGGGCAAAAGAAAUUUCCCCCGCAAAUCCAAACGGUGAACGUGGUAAACACCACCCAAAUUCCCAACCCGGAUCGGAUACGCACCCUUAGGGAUGCCGACUUAACGGAACUAGUCGUCCCACAAUAUAAACUAGGGCCGGUCACCUUCAACCGCACGGACCGUCCGGUUAACGCCAAUCAGGGCAAUCCAGCCGCACUAGUCCUCGACCCAAUAAUUGACGGGUUCCACCUCACACGAGUCCUUAUGGAUGGAGGCAGUAGUCUAAACCUGCUUUACCAGGACAUAGUGCGCAAGAUGGGCAUCGAUCAUUCGGUGAUCAAACCCACUAAAGCCACUUUUAGAGGCAUUAUACCAGGUGUGGAAGCCAGUUGUACAGGCUCCAUCGCCCUUGAGGCAGUCUUCGGAUCACCAGACAAUUACCGUACUGAAGAGUUAAUCUUUGAAAUCAUCCCUUUCCGCUGUGAUUAUCAGGCACUGCUCGGACGAACCAUGUUCGCCGAUUCAACGCGGUGCCACAUUAUGCCUACCAUAAGCUCAAAAUGCCCGGUCCACGAGGCGUCAUCAUGGUUAAUGGCAAGGACGAACCUCACUUCGGCACCAACGAGUACACCGCUGCCUUAACAGCAGUAGUAACGAGCAGCACCUUGCAGCCGAACCUCGAGUCGACGGCCAGGCUCCCGGACACCGUCAAAGGACUACGAACUACUUCGCGGCAGGAUAGCCCGGCUCGUCCAGAGCUCAAUUAAACACUCCUGCAAAGGCCAGGACAGGCCGCACUCAGCGGCUCAACCGCUCUCCAGCACGCAAACAUUUCUUACAUUUCCUUCGCAGGUUCACCUUUGCGCCGACCAGGACGGGCGAUAUGGAGGCAACUCGAACGCGCAAGGGAAUCCUUAGAUAUUCCCCGCGAUGACCAUCCGACUAUACUCCGGAUCCGCACACAGCUUCUUCCCACCGGGCCUCAGCAGGUUCCAUAGUCAUAUUUCCUUUUUUCACAUUACCUGUACUUAUACGCAUCGACGUACUAUUCAAAUACAACAUAUGGAUUCAUAUGACGCUUAUCUACUGUUAUUUCUUAUUAAAAAUUCUUUUGUUAAGUGGCAUCCGUACAACACGAUAUGCCUUCAAAUAUGCCAGGGGCUUCAUUUUACCCAUAAUACGGCAAUAAAGUCCGAACACCUUCACGGAAGUUCGGCACCCCGAACCCAUAGCAUUAUAUGCAUCAGCUCCGAGUCAUGUCUUGGGUCAAUAGUUGGGUUUGCUCGGCUCCCACGUUUUGGUACCUUACGUUCCGCUAUAUCGGCUUAGGUAGCACUGGGAGAACUACUGCGAUUGUGUCCCGGUUCUUCUGGAUGAGCACCUCAGUAGAGAAAGCCAAAAACUGACUGUCAUGAUACGGCGAGAGCUGGUCAGCUGUUCGAGAGGUUGUAAAAUCUUUAAGGAUUUCUCCCGCAUAAUGCCAUAACCAAUGCAGCGUGCGAUGGAUCGGGUUUUUCUUCCGAUCAGGUGCUUAUAGAGCCCCUCGUGCGGUCUUCUGAACACCAGGGGCUGCGCCUACCUUCCUAAAGCUCCUAUGGCUAAGUGAGAGCGAUAAAGCCCUAUAGUCCGAUUGCCUGGUUCGUUGUGCUGAACACCUCCUUCGAAGGACCCAAAAUUGGGAUAAAGAGUGAUCAGGUCUAUCCCGAGCACCCCCGUACUUCUUACGUGGGGGCAGAAGCCGACGAAUGGCCAACUCUCAGGAUUAAUAUAUAAAACGGCCGCGCAGGAGGAUAAACUUUUAUAUAACAGGCAAUAAAUAAUAUAAAUGACCUUGUUCAGACAUUACAAAGGACAACAUGAUUUGCAUUCACGGAAAUAUAAUGUCCUUGGUACAUAGCUCCGCUGCAAGGCAGGAUCCUUUCAGGACACUCUCAUAAUAUAAUUCGGGCUUGCGGUGCUCCUUCCCCUCUGGUGGUCCUUCGGUCAUUAGCUUUUCAGCAUCCAUCUUCCCACAGUGCACCUUUGCGCGGGCGAAGGCCAUUCGCGCACCCUCUAUACAGACCGACCGCUUGAUGACAUCAAGUCGAGGGCAGGCACUCACAAGCCGCUUCACGAGCCCGAAGUAGCUGCUUGGAAUCGGCUCAGCGGGCCAUAGCCGGAUAAUCAGAUCCUUCAUGGCUAGUUCCGCCGCCUUAUGCAGUUUGAUCAGCUGUUUCAGUUGAUCGACAAAAGGCACCGGAUAAUUCGGUGCCAAAUACUGCGACCAGAAGAGCUUAUCCGCAGUGUUCCUUUCUUCGGCUCGGUAGAAUUGGGCGGCAUCCGAUAUGCUGCAGGGCAGCUCGGCAAAUACCCCUGAGAAAUCCGAAUUCAAAAUUAGACAUAAUUGUCUCCUCAAAUACUUGGUUUACAUGGAAAAAGACUUACCCGCCGCGAUCUUCCUCGCCUCUUUGAUCCCCUGUAGGGCGCUUUGGGUUUCCCCCCGGGCUUCGCUCGUGGCCUGAUGCGCCUUGGUGAGUUCGGAUUCUUUCUCCGUUAAACUCUACUCCAAGGUCUCGCAUUUCUUCACGGCCUCUUGCAGCUCCUGCUCAGCUUUAAUAACCCUGGCCUCGUGCUUCUCACGAAGAGCCUGCUGUGCGGUUGCCUUUUUCUCGGCCUCAGCCACAGCUUUCUUAAGAGCCUCGACUUCGGUCAUCAUCCCUAGCGCAAAUCAUGAAACAUAUUUCAUCAUACUGAAAAUUCAUUCGCAAUAUACGUGAACAAGACUUGCGCAUACCUUGUUUAUCUCCCAACUGCAUUUUCAACUGGCCAAGUUCUUUUUGGGCCCGCUCCAGACUUUGAUUCAGUCCAGAGACCUCCACAGUAUGAGAGGCAGCAGCCGCUACAGACGCCUGCUUAUAACAGAAGAGAAAUAGAUGUCAUCCAAUGAGUCUUCCUGUGAACAUACAAUUUGAUCCUCUGUCCGGUUCUUUCUUUCACCGAACAGUGUAUCAGGGGCUACUAUCCAUACCAUGACACUCUUCGAAACCUCAUAAAACAUACCUCAAAACCUUUUAUAAGGCUGAUACAGGCUUCAUUCAGUCCACUCUCAGCAGACUGAAUCUUCUCAAUCACCGCACCCAUAAGGGCACGGUGUUCAUCGACGAUGGAGGCGCUCUUCAGCGCCACCAACAAAGCAUGCGACACCUCUGGUUGGACAGAGAUUGCCGGUGAAACAGGCAUGCCCCCUCCAGCUGAGAGAGGCUGCCUGCUUGAUUCUGGAGCCGUAUUGGUCUCCGGAAUUGCAUCCGGCUGGGAGCCGAAUUCAAGAUGGCCCCCGCCAUCAGCUCCCAUGGGAAUUUUCUCCCCCAUGUGUCCGACCCCUGAAGUUUGAUCUCCAGGCGCCGCCUUCACGGUCUUUUCCUCUCCUCCUUGGUCGGGGUCCCUCUGGGACGAAGCCUCGGUGUUAUUCACCUAUUUGGAUGAAGGGGCCUUCGGGGGCGUCCCGCUCUCCAUUGCAUCCGAUCUCAACGAAUCCUCUGAUGAGGAUUGUUUGAUACGGGACCUCGACGGACUACAAAAAAAUGGCUCAGGUUAAAAUAUUAUGCCAUGAUGAGUCUGGACGCAUAAACGUACUCAGAUUCAAUAUACUCAUGAAUUCACCAGGGGCUGGGCCCUGGGAUCCCAUGCCGGGCCGCUGUCGGCGGCGGCAGUGGACUCCUCCAGAAGAGGAGCUUUGCCCCUUUUGGGCGACUCGGCCUCCAAGUGUGCGGAGGCUGUCCUCUUCUUUCUUCCCCCCGCAGGGGAUUCAUCUUCCUCCUCCUCCUCGUCCUCUUCGGAGGCGGAACGGGCAUCAGAGCCUUCAGAUAUUGUGUCCGAAGUGCCGUGGCGACGAAGGCCGCCCCAAGUCUUUUUGGCCUCCUCGGCCGUCUUCUUCGGCACCUUGUAAGGCGCCAGGACCAGCAUCUUCGUCAGAAGUGGGACGGCCGGUUCUUCGGGCAGCGGGGCCGGACAAUGGAUCCGCACCGCCUUCUUCGUACAGCCCUAGGAGAAUUGUGGAAAACACAUUAGGCGCUUCCCUUGGGUUAUGCGGAUAAAAAGUACGAUGACUUACCAAGCUUGCAGGGCGGGACGGUUGGUACCCGCGGUCUUCGGCGGAGUCCGGCCAUGAUUUCCAGGACUUGAAAAGCACCUUCUAGAUGUCCUUGUGCGAGGAGCCGAAAAGCACUCGCAGGGUUUGGUGCUUGGCCAGAUCGAAUUCCCAUAGAUUGCAAGUCCGGUGUUGACAAUGCAGGAUCCGGCAAACUAACAUCACCUGGACUACAUUGACAAGUUCAAUGUUCUUGUCUCCCAUAUCUUUAACGUGCAUCUGGAGCACUGACAAUUCGUUGGACGAGGACCAGUUCAGGCCCUUCUUGACCCAGGUUGUAAGCCGCAGGGGGGCACUAGAUCGAAACUCGGGAGUAGCGGCCCAAUCCGUGCCACGCGGCUUGGUGAUGUAAAACCACUGCUGUUGCCACUCCUUGACAGAAUCGUUAAAGGUGCCUGUUGGCCAUGUAACAUUGUGCAUCUUGCUCACCAUAGCGCCCCCGCACUCGGCGUGCUCACCACCCACUACCUUGGGCUUCACAUUGAAAAUCUUCAGCCAUAAGCCGGAAUGUGGCGAGAUGCGGAGAAAAGCCUCGCACACGACAAUGAAUGUCGAGAUGUUGAGGAAGGAAUUAGUGGACAGAUCGUGAAGAUCGAUCCCAUAAUGAUACAUAAUGCCGCGAACGAACGGGUGGAGGGGAAACCCUAGCCCGCGGACAAAGGGAUGGAGGAAUACAACCCUCUCGUGGGGUUCCAGAGUAGGGACGAUCUGUCCCGCCGUCGGGAGACGGUGGCUAAUUUUCUUGGCCAGAUACCCGGCCUCCCAAAGCUUUUUGAUGUCCUUCUCCCGGACGGUAGAGGCCAUCCAUUUGCCUCCUACUCCGGAUCCAGACAUUUUCGGAAGGCCUUUGUGGGCAGAGAAGAUGAACACUUGGGCGCUGGAGCUCGGGCGGAGGGGAAUGGAUCGGGAAGAAGAAAGCGUGGGUGCGAAUAGGAGUCCUUAUCCCCUUAUAAAGGCAGCAGGGAUUCUACGCCUCCCGACUUGCCUGGUAAAACCGCUUAUUCCCCCAAGCGCCGUAAUUGAUGGCGCGGUUGGGUUACCCACACCCGUAUUGAUGAGAAUCCCGUGAAAAGAGGGACACGAUCUCUGCUUCGACAAGACGUACCAACAAAACCGCCUCGCAACACGUGCAAUGGCAGGCUCGAAAAAACGGUUCGUCAUGACCACAUCACGGCAGAAUGUCACGUUAAGAAAAGCUGUCAGCAGAUUAGAUUUGUGGAAAUAUUAUUCUCUCUACGGUGGUAUGUGGAAUUUGUUUUGCAGGGCCGGACACUAUCCUUGAGUUCAAAAUCUUCUAUGGAAUACUCGGAGGAGGAACCCGCCUCGCAAUGCCGAAGACGAUCUGCAUGCCGGACUCAUCGUCAUUGAAGCCUGGUUCAGGGGCUACUGAGCGAGUCCUGGAUUAGGGGGUCCCCGGACAGCCGGACUAUAUACUUUAGCCGGACUGUUGGACUAUGAAGACACAAGAUUGAAGACUCCGUCCCGUGUCCGGAUGGGACUCUCCUUGGCAUGGAAGGCAAGCUUGGCAAUACGGAUAUGUAGAUCUCCUCCCUUGUAACCGACUCUGUGUAACCCUAGCCCCCUCCGGUGUCUAUAUAAACCGGAGGGUUUAGUCCGUAGGACAACAACAAUCAUACCAUAGGCUAGCUUCUAGGGUUUAGCCUCUACGAUCUCGUGGUAGAUCAACUCUUGUAAUACUCAUAUCAUCAAGAUCAAUCAAGCAGGAAGUAGGGUAUUACCUCCAUCGAGAGGGCCUGAACCUGGGUAAACAUCGUGUCCCCCGCCUCCUGUUACCAUCCGCCUUAGAUGCACAGUUCGGGACCCCCUACCCGAGAUCCGCCGGUUUUGACACCGACAGGGAGGAGUAGUAUGAAGGUGCAAAACCAAGUACGCGUAUGGCCAGUCAGUCAACGCACCUCCUCCUGGCAUAUCACUGACAUGUGGGACCGGAGUGUGGGCAAACUGAUCUCAAUUGACGGCAAAAUGGCCAACCCGCCGUUCCUUGAGAGAGACGAGGAGCGAGAACACAGACGGGCUCGCACGGAGGCCAAGAUAUAUUCAAGCAUGGUUGAUAGAUAUCAUUAUUACAUGUUGGGCUGCCGUUUUCCGCCCUUCUCUGGAAUAAAUGCGUUCUUUAUCAGAGAUUAAAAAAAAUAAGAGUACAGAGGCUCCACCAUGCGGUUCUAGUAGUAGUACUACUCGUACUACUUAACCUUGCGCUUGGCUCUUCGCCUCUUCGUGAAGUCAAAAAAUGUUGGUACUCCGCAUGUUCGGUAGUACAGUGUAUGCCUCUGGCAAUCUGACACCGAAUGAGCUGAUGCAUGUCCACCGCCUGGGCGAGGGUACGUUGCAUUAGUCAAAAGGCGUAAGCGAGCUUCACCUUGUCUUGCAAGCUUCUCCUUGUUCUGCGAGUUGACGGGACACACCAAAAAGUAGUGCUAGUCCAUACUCCCUCCUUUCCGGUUAAUAUGGCUUAAUCUUUUUUGCGGGUAAAUGAGAGAGCUUUAUUCAUAUAUAAGCAUUCUUAGGACAGUCAGCCAAGACACUGGUCACUAGGAAGCGAGGUAGUACCCCGCAAAAAAGAAGUAGGAAGCAAGGUGUUUCAUCAAGCCAUCUCUCGGCCACAUUCAAAGUGCAGCAAGCACGGUUCGCACAAAGAUGCGCCGCAAGGUUUGCUGACCUAUUUACAUGUUGAAUAACAAAAAAGAGGAAAUAUUACCGAGCGCUCCUAUUUUUAACAGGAUAUGAGCCAGAAUUAAGCGAGAAUUGUGGCGAGUGUUCCAUGCAAUCAACUUCCAUUAUCACAUGCGAGAACCCUCGAAGAGAACCAAAUGUGUUGAAGAUUGCUUUAUCACAUUUUAAAAAUAUAAUAAGAGUGCAGACGCUCCUCCAUCCGGUUCCUAGUACUAGUAUAGUACAUACCUCUAUAGACUAUAGUAGUAGUACUAGUACUAGUAAACUUUGCGCUUGGCUGUUCGCCUCUUCGGGAAGUGGAACAAUAAUAGUACUAGUAUAGUGUAUGCUUCUGGCAAUCUGACACUGAAUUAACUGUUGCACGUCCACCACCUGAGCGAGGGAGAGCUUGCAUUAGUCAAAAGUUUCUCCUUGUCCUGCGGGCCACCGCACGCAAGCUUCUCCCGUCCUGCAAGCUUCUCCUCAUUCGGCAAGUUGACGGGACACACCAAAGUAAUGCUAGUCCAUACUGCCUCCUCUCCGGUUAAUAUGGCUUAAUUUCAAAUGAGAUAAAUACAUUGUAUGUCACUGUAUAUUUGUAAAAAUACGGCCAGUGGACUUCAUAAUACGCUCAUUGCACUCAAUAUAUACAUUUUCUGGUGUUUAUACGGUCACUAGCUCACCCUGGCUGAAUAUGUGCGUGCAUGCACGUGUAGGUUGAGCACUUGAGCGUGACUGUGUGUGUUCCGUCGUGUGCUCGGACAUGCAUGCAUUAGGGCAUCGCGCGCGUUUUUGCGUCCAUGUGUAUGUGUGAAUGUUGCAUACACGUAGGGGGAGUACGUGUAGGGGCCACUAAAGGAGUAGUCAAAUCACACGGUAAGUUAGUCCGAAGAAGCAACCAUCAUUUCACUCUUCAAUUACUCGUACGCAAUAUAAAAUGGUUGAUAUGGAGAGAAAAAGAAAACCACUAUAUAUACACUAGCAGGAGCCUAAGCUACAAGCCUGCUUGCUUGGGUUGCUCUCUUCACAAGCAUAGAACGACGGUGGCCACACCGCUGGUCACAUAUCCGGCCUGAUCCCGCAGCUGGGGGAAGGGAACAAUGUUCUGCGUAGACGCGGUGGACAUCAGCGAGGGAGAAAAUCCACAGUCGGUGCGUCCCAAUUGGGGGUCACUGCGGUAUGGGCCAAUGCCGCAUCCCAACCGCCCUUCUAGCUACAGCCCGACGUCCCAGGUAGUCCAUCUUCCUUUUGGAGCCGGCUUCCUCCACUGCCGCAGCUCCCCACGUAGCUCCAUCUCCAUGUCGAUCUUUCUCUACUUCUACCGGCUUCUACUUGUGAUGAGUUUAUGUCUCAUGAACUAGUGCAGUACUAUUAUUCCAAUCACACUUCUUCAAUAUCUUUGCCAUCAGGGAUGCUCAGCUCGAUUUUAGUGGAACUGCACAAAAGCAUCGUAUGAUCUGAGGGUGCCAGCCAUCUUUCCUUCAACAGGUUCUACCUGGCCAAGAAAUUAAAUCCUGUUUAGGGUUUAGGGUUUAAGUCGUAGUGACCCCAUCAGUAGUUUUUCUUUCGUACACGCUCUCACAACUUUUGUCUUUAGUUGUGAAGUAAAUAUUGGCUAUGAUCUGUGAAUCAUUGAGAUGCAUCAACAUGCGUGUUAGUUUUCCUUUGUAUUUGAUGGAAUGUUGUAACGGGGCAACCUUGGAGUAGGAAUGAAAAUGGAGUGGAAAGUUUCCGUUUUUCCGGAGAAAAAAUAGAAACGGAGAGAAACCAACGUUUCGUUUUGUUGGAUCGCGCCAUCGAGCAAAACCAACAUUUAAAUCACGUCUGUCGCGUUCGUGUCUCACCCUCCUCUACGGCUCGACCCCACACGGUCGCUCGGCAUGCCCCUCAGCGCAAACGGAGUAUACGAUAAAUUUCCCGCCUGCUUGUCGAUGGAUCGCGCCAUGGAGUACUAGUACUACUGGAAGAGAUUGACGAGUUGGGGGAGGACAGCUAGCUGUAGCAUGGACUCCCAAGAACUUUUUACAUGCAUGUUGUGGCCGGCUAUUGCGACCUUUGAACGCGGAGCAGUCGCGUGCACCAGGAAGCGGCGCGGGCGAUGCUCUCUCGACCGGCGUGCUGCUUCAAUGCCGGCGCCAGUGAGAGGUCGCGCCCGCUCUGGCCGGGCAUGAAUGCGGCACUGACCGUUUCGGGCGGGAAACACGCGCGGGUGAUGAAGAGGGUUCGGGUUGGUCAGGAGCGACGUGGCAGCGGUCCGGACGCCCGCAAACAAGAGAUGUUGUACGUUAAUAUUGCCGCGUAUAUAAUUAACAACGUAAAUAAUGUGCCAGUUGGACAAAUAUGAUUGGAGAUGGAGAUGGAAAUGGAAUUUUACGUAAACACGUAUGCAUGUCUAUGUCUAUGUGUGUGUGCGCGACGACUCUCGCGACCUGGAAGCGGGGGCGUGUUUUUGAUCGAGUUUUCUUUCUUGGUACGUUAAAAAAUUGUCCGCCAGUUUUCGUUUCUUUUUUCUGGGAACGCGCGUAUUCUAUUUAAAACCACUGCUAUGGAGAGAUUGUUUUACUCCAUUAUAGCCUCUUGUUUGAUAGAGUUUCUCGCGUCUCGCUCUCUCACCCUCUCCAUAUCAAAACAAGAUGACAGUGUCCACACUAUCUCUCUCCUCACCGGUGGUCACAGAUCCGGCCGAAUCCCAUCUGCUGCGGGAGGUGAGGAGGUGCAGCGUUGACAUUGUCGCCGUCGGCAAUGGAGGAAGCCGAUGCGCACUGCCCUCUCGGAGCCGGCGCUGGCGCGGACGAAGAUCCUCCGCGCCCUUGUUCGCUGUCGUCGUGUGGGAAGAUCCCACCCGCCCGCCUAAGCGACAUCUCGCCCACCUGAGGUAUAACUUCUUGUACUGAUCCAGCUCCCCAGGUCGCUGCAUGCGGGUUUUCUUCUAUGCGACUACUCCCCAGCUCCCCAUGUAUAGUAGCUAGGGUUCGUCGGCUGGUCCAACAUCACCUACUAUCACUCGAAGAGUUGUCCUGAUUUAUGCCUCGGUGGAGGUAUACAUGUUGUUUCGACAAAAAGUACAUGCUGGUUGUGCGGUCAUUGUCCAUAUGCUCAUAUUGCUGCUGCUAAUCUAAUACUAUCACUGGUUAAAUGAAGAAAUGCUUUUUUCUUGGGUAUCCUGGUUUAGUUCCCAUCAAGAUAAUCAUGAUGCUUCUAUUUGUUGGUGUACUUUUCAUAAUUCUUAUUGACAAUUGAGAUGUCGUUGUUAAUCUUGUAAAACAAAGUAACAACACUAUAUCCCUUUUUUAUAUUUUUGGAAACAGCGAUGCGUAUCUCCAUACCCGGGCAUGUCUUCCUCAAUUUUAGUGGAACUGCACAAAAUUGGAUGGCCAUUGUUGUUCUGCCUCACUUUCCUCUACCACGUGGUUCUUCCUUCCUCGAGCUUGACUACUGAGAAGAAACAGACCACAGUGAGGAUUUGUCGAACUUCAUAGGUGCCUCACCCAAACUUGAUGCCAAAUGGAUGAUGCAUCACCACGAUGACCUAUCGAUGCUCAUGGUUGCGCCUCAUGGUUGCGUCGGCUGGUGAAGCUAAUCGAUUUUCAAUGAAAAACAAGCUGUCUUGUGACAGCCUGGUUUUUGCCCUCUUUUAUUUGCCUGAUUUUCAUUUGGAUUGAUUUUAAAAUUUGGAGUUUUUGAAUCUUUUCAUAUGGACUUAAACACUUGGGUACCCCUUGGCUUUCACCCAAGUGCCUCAUUUCCCUCUCUAAUCAUCUUUUCCUCUCUGGUUCUACUCAAAAUAAUAUUUGGAAUAUUUUCUUAAAUGAAAAAUAUUCAUUUCCCCCUCUUAAACCCCGGCUCGCUCAAUGUGCUCCAAAGCAACCCCAAUUUUUCUUGCCCACAAAUAUCUGAGAAAAUUCACAAAUAUUCUUUGAACCCUAGGCCGCCUUCCUGAGCAAAAAUAUUUCAUCACUUUUUGGAAUAUUUUUGCUACAGAAAAUAUUUUCUGUUUUGGACAGAAAUGAUGGUUUCUACAGCAACUACCAUUUUACUUGCUCCAAUGUGGCUGAUUUUUCUUGUGCAUCAUCACCUGAGUAGAUGAUUGCUAACCUCCAAAGCCUAGCUCCCAACUCCCAGCCGUUUGACCUCAGUAACCUCUCAAAGUUACUGAUCAGAAACUUACUAGGCUUGUGAAAUCUUUUCUACUGCGUCUGGAUCCAAACCAAAGUGUGGUAAUCUUCAAAACUACCACGAAAAACAAGCCAGACAUGAGUUUUGGACUUAGGUCGGCCUGAGGGCAAAGUUCACACGGUGACCACGCAUGUACACGAUGCCAACCCGCGUGUCGACACGCUCUGAGUGCCGCCGAGCGCUCUGUUUCGCGCAUGCUCGCUUCCCCGCCUGCCUAAGCAUGCCAAACCUCGCCACAAUCUUCGUCCUAGCUCCCUUAACUCUCCCCUGGCACUCGCCGACGCCGGAGCUCGCCGCAACGAGCACGGGCGCGGUCCGGCCAACGCAACAGUGCGCUCUGCACUGUGCCCGUCGCCUUCCUCUUGAUCCUGUGCUCGUCUCCGUUCGCCCAUAGUCCCCGCGUGAGCUGCAUCGCCUUCUCCCCCUCUCACUAACGCUGCUCGUCGCCGGGCGCCAUGUCCAGGUGUCACCGGCGUAGCCCGAUCCCUCCCUCGAUGCUCGCCUAUAAAUGGAUCCCUCCCUAGUCUCCUCGAGCACCAUCCUCCACUCCCACACACUCCACAACCUCGUAGAGAACCGUAGCCCGGCCAGGCAGGCCGCGGGCUGCCGUCCCCGAGCUCGAUCUCGCUGGCGAUCCCCUCGGGUCGUCUCCGUAGCUCCGGCCCCUCCCAGGCCUGGGCAACCCUUCCAGGGCCUCCGCCACUCUGCGGUGGUGCCGUUUCGCCCGGUUGGAGUCGCCUCUGCUCGCCGUCGUCUUCAUCUCCGGCGAGCUCUACUUCCUGUCUCCGCUAGAGAGGACGAUUUCGACGCCGUCCGCCCCUAGCCACUCUACGGGUACGGGCAGGUGCGCCUCUGUCUCCUCUCUCGAUCCCUCCCUCUCAUUUUGGCCAAGGAGCCCUCGUCGCCGGCGUGAGCUCCCGCGAAGCCGCACCAUUCUCUGUUUCCUUUCCCCUCUCCCCCUCACCUGACUAGCGGGGCCCGCUAGUCAGCCACUCAGUACGCGCGUGAAGCGGUACGAGUGGUGGCGCCCCGAGGCUUUACGCCUUCGACGUCACCCCCAGUCUGUUUUUAUUUAAAUUCAAAUUUCAUUUAUAUCCGGAGAGCUUCAAACAGCUAUAACUCUUCAACCACAAGUCCAAAUGAAUUGAUUCUUUUUGCAUUGUGUUCUUUGUAAAGAAAUCUAGCAGCUCACCAAAAAUGGGAUUUUCCCCUGUUGUCUAGAUUUUCUGGUGAUUUUUAGAAGGGUUCUUGAUAUUUUCUUCUUGUGUUUAAAAUUAUUUUCAGAGGGUGAGGCUUGUCUUGAGGAUCACCACGAGGCUUGUGAACCUCAUCUGCACUAAGGCAAGCCACAACAACAUUUUCAUGAUGCCACUACAAUAUUUAUGAUUUUUCUACUUGAAUGAAUGAUUUAAUCCAUGCAUUUAAAUCACUAUUAUGCUAUUUAUAUUCUGUUAGUGCUUGUUUAAGUUAAUAUGCUUGAAUUACAGAAAGUUUGUAGCUAACUAAGUUGGUAUAGAGACUAGAAUUUAUUUUGCUAUGAAAGAAAUAAUAUGGUUAUGGAUAUAAGUCAUUAAUUGGAAUUAUUUUUCUUGCAUGAGAAAAAUGAUAAAAUUUGUUAGAAAAGAUUCUGUUUAGUGUGAGGUUUAAUCUUAACCAGAGAAGUGUCAAGAGUUAUUGAUGUUAUGCUUAGUGUGGAUAUAGUUGACUCAGUCUUUUCCGUUAAUAUGUGAUGCAUAUGUUAGUGUUGCAUUUCAUGGCAUACUAUGACACCGGUUAUUUUCAAUUUAAGUUGAACCUGAUAAUAACACAACUUGAAUAUAUCAUUGACCGGGUCAUGGUGCCACUGAAUCGAGUUUUUCCCACUACAACCACAUUUGCCUGUAUGGGAAGGCCUUUAUUCUGUCCGUUGUCAUGCCUCUGGUCGGUGCCUCCAACGAGGGAAGGUUAUGGGCGUGCGGUACCCUGGCCCGAUAAGCAGACAUAACCUUGUGUGCCCGUUGUUGAGAUUUUUGGUACCGGUCCCCGUGAGGGACGUUUAUGUUUUGGCCAGGACAGUGGUCGUUGUGUCUUUGGUAGACACGGGGCCACCCAAGACUAGCCCAGUUGGGAGAGAGUCAGAGUGGCCGGGAGAGUGUCAUGGCAAUGGAGGGGUUCCGUCGGAAUGCCGUUGGUCCACCCGAAUGGGAGUACGAGGCCAUGGGUUCCGUGAUGUGGGUACAGUGCGCUACCUCUGCAGAGUGUAUUAAUCUAUCGAUAGCCGAGUCCACGGUUAUGGACACGCUCGAAAGUAGGUCACACCAUGGGUCAACAUUUAAUAAAUCUUACACACUAAGUUAUGAACUUUGCAUAGUUAAGUGAUGGCGGGAAGGUCAUCUUGUGGGUUGAGACCAAGUGUUGGUCGUGGUUGUGAUCGCCGGAAGGAUCGCCGUUUGAGACCAAAGAGUGGCCGAUUUGUGGUCGCCAAAAAGAUCAUGAGAUAUCCCUAGUUAAGACCAUGAUGUUGGCAUGGUGGUGAUCCAAGAGCGAUCACCGUUGGUAAGUCAGUCCGUGGGACUUUUCCCACAAGAGCAUGAUCACAACAUGUCGGUUAUUUUGUUGCAUUAUUAAUAAUUGGUUAAUUAUCAUGAUAUUGUUUGUCAUUAUGUUUAUGCUUGUUGUGAGCUUCCAAGUACAUUCAAUGUACUGACCUGGCGUGUCAUGCCAGAUUUCAGGAAAGUCUCGUUGGAAAGGAGUGCUGUCCGAAUCUAGAUUGUGUCCACAUCGGUGUCCCUGUGUUAUGGAGUUUCCACUACGACGUUGUUUCGCUGCCGCGUAGUUAUUAUGAUCGAGGCCCCUUUAUGUUCACUAAAUAAUGUACAUAUUGUUCAGCCGCACCGUGUGUGCCGCUUGGCCUCGCUACCUAUUGUAAUAUAAACUAUUAUCCGCUAGCAUCAAUAAAGCGGUUGUUUUCUGUACCAAGAUGUUGUGUGUUGCCAGAAGACAUGGUCUCUGGGCUGGCAAUGCAUGGUAAACCGGUUGCUCUGAGCCGGGGUGCCACAUGUAUUCCAUUAGUGCUCUUUGCUUGUUACCCACAAAGAUGAUAUCCUUCGUCAGUUCACCUUGGUUGCGUUGGAGACGCAGUCGUCUUUCACGUUGGUGCAAUUUUAUCACACAAUUGGCUAUGAACCAAAUGUUUCCUCGAAGAAGGAUCGACGUUGGUACUAAGAGCAUAAGUUUUGUAUUGAUUUCUAAGCCUUCUCACAACUUUGUCUCCAGCUCCCCUGUAAUUUUAUUUGUCCAGCUAUUAACUUUGAUUAAAAAAAUGGUGUGGACUAAAAACCCAGAUGGACGUAGUAGCCCUCCAUUUUUAUUCAUUCCGCAUAUUAGAUUUGACUGAAGUCAAACAUUGUAAAGUUUGACCAAGUUUAGGUCGAACACAACAAACCAUAAUUAUUAGAGAGGGCAAACUGUACAUACUCUCAAACCUUUCCGAUAAUUGAAAUUAAAAUUCUUUAUUUGUACACACUCUCACACGUUUCCGAUAAUUUGGCGCAUGUGUGGUUGUUCAAUUAAGGGAGGGUAGUGUACCGCAUGUGAAGGACAGGAAGUGCGACCAGGAUGCAUGGAUCAUUAGUUCAUAGGAAGUACUCCCUCCGUUCCUAAAUAUUUGUCUUUCAAGUGGUUUUCAAUGGACUACCACAUACGGAUGUAUAUAGAAUUUUUUUACAGUGUAGAUUCACUCAUUUUGCUCCGUAUGUAGUCAUUUGUUGAAAUCUCUAGAAAGACAAAUAUUUAGGAACAGAGGGAUUAGUAGUUUUCUUCACUGGUACGUUAAAUAAAGAGUUUCGUUUCGUACUUACACAAUUUAAAACGAUUGUUAUGGAGAGAAUAAGAAAACCACUCCACUAUAUAUUAGUCGUAUACACGAGUACUAUAUGGGCACAGCUUCAUUGACUUUAGUGCACCUGCCUUUGGGUUUAUGACAGGUGGGCCCAAAAUGUGGCUGGCCCACCUGCCAUACAGCCAAAAGCAGGUGCCGUUAGGGCACCGGAGCUCAGUCCGUACUACAGUAUACACUACAAGAAAUAUGUCAACUUGUGACCUUGAAUAUUGGUCACUGAAAGGUCAUUGUUUUUCAUUUGCGACCUUUUUGUGACCAAAAACAGAAGGUCAAAAGCUGGCAGUCAUAAACUGAAAUUAACGACCUUCUCUAUGAGAAGGUCAUAGAUGUUUACGACCAAAACAGAAGGUCGUUGAACCCAUGACCUUUUGUUUUGGUCACUGGCUGUCUGCCCAGGCCACGUCGGAUCCGACGUGGCAAUCUGACGUGGCUAAAUUGCGGCCAAUUGAAAAGGUCACUCACAAGAUUCAGCCCGGUCCGAUUGGGUGUUUUACAUGGGCCAGGCCCGACAAUUCAGCCAAUUUAUGAUUUUUUUCCUUGAUGUUUUUGGGCCUUUUCUAUCAUGGGCCCUUACCUUUCCACAUAGUUCGUUUCCUUUUUGUUUCUAUUUCAGUCAAGGCCUGCUUAUAGUACUUCUGAAUUGCUUUUCAGCCCAGGUUAUUUUGGGCCAUGGCAUCUUAAUAGUACAAGCAUAUUUGGGUCGUGGCCACUAUCAGGUCCAGUAAGAACAUUUUCUGGAGAAUUUAAUGUUCAAGUAAAAUGUACACAACACAUUACAGGAAAAUAACACAUACAAGAGCAGAUAGAAUUUCAUUUCACUCCUACAGCUCACUACAUCACAGUACAUGACAAUCAUUCAAAAUAGGCCGCCACACGACAUGGAAGCAAAAUAAACAGUACUGCUCUUGGAAGCAAAAUAAACAGUACUAGGCAGUACUGUUUACUAGGAAGUAGACGAGUACAUCUCAUUUCAAAUAAACAGUACUGCUCUUGGAAGAAAAAUAGGCCGCCACACGCCAUGGUGCUCCAUCUUACUCGAUCUGGCCCCAAGUAACACUACAAAAAAAAGA
rnacentral:lncRNA from 1 species